UCUAGUAAGCCAUGGCCCCCACCGCGAUGGCCGCCGCCACCUCCGUCGCUCCAUUCCAGGGGCUCAAGUCCACCGCCAGACUCCCCGUCAGCCGCCGCUCCAGCAGCUCCGGCUUCGGCAACGUCAGCAACGGCGGAAGGAUCAGGUGCAUGCAGGUAACAAUCGAUCGAUCUUUUUUUUAAGACGCGCAAUAGCAUGUUUUUCGUUAAGUAGAGAGAAACAGAGUACAUACAGAGCAUGCACGACCGAAUAAACAGCUCGACAAUCGAUCUGAGUUAAAUGCAACUGAGUAGUAGGAAGUCAGGAACUGAUGCAUGGGUAUUGUUAAUUGCUCAGGUGUGGCCGGCGGAGGGCAACAAGAAGUUCGAGACCCUCUCCUACCUGCCACCUCUCUCCACGGACGAGGUCCUAAAGCAGAUCGACUACCUGAUCCGGAAGAACUGGAUCCCCUGCCUCGAGUUCAGCAAGAUCGGGUUCGUCUAUCGUGAGAACAGCACGUCUCCCUGUUACUACGACGGGCGCUACUGGACCAUGUGGAAGCUGCCCAUGUUCGGCUGCACCGAGGCCACCCAGGUGUACGCUGAGUUCGAGGAGUGCAAGAAGGCCUACCCCGACUGUUACAUCCGUAUCAUCGGCUUCGACAACAUCAAGCAGGUGCAGUGCGUCAUGUUCAUCGCCUACAAGCCCCCAGGCUCCGAGUAAGACCGGCGGCGCCAAAUAAGCUUAUCGCGCGGACCGCUCGCUCGUGAGCGACCGUGGAUGAAGUGUCUACUCGGUUUUGGCAACUUAAUUAUUUGACGCUCUGUUUAAAGUCGCCUGCUUGUUAAUUCCCUUUCUUUUCGUGUUUCCGUCCUGUGUGUAUGUACGAAUGUACAUGUAUCAACGUAGGCUGAGGAGCAUGCAUAUGUGAAUGCUAGCGCCGGCUAAACUUAUACGCAUACACAUCGUAAUAUAUUGUAUACGCAAUUCCUCCACUGCCUCAUCUGUUUCUUGACGUAUAAUUAUAUAUCUAUGUACUAUCGGCUUGUUUGGUUGGAUGUAAUUGGUGGGUGGGAAAAAGAGUUUAGAUGUGAGAGAUUAAAAUUCUAUUGUUUGUUUAGUGGGCCUGGAAGUUUUAAUGGGACGAGAAAUGGAAGUUUAGAGGAUAAGAAAUCUGUAGAGAGGUAACAUCAAGUAAGCGUCAAGUAAGCAUGAUUCGGGUUUGCAAGAACACUACGAACAGCUAUCAACAAUAGAUAACUUACCCUAGAGAGGUAACUUAGAAAAGCAUAAACAUGCCUACAUGGUAGUUUUAUAGCUCUAGAUAACAAGCAAAAUAUGAAUCUCACUUAAAGCAUAUUUAAAACCUCCACGUUCGGCCCUACUAGGCCCAUACAGUUCUACGCAAGACGCUCUAAGAGCAUGAGCACCGAGAGUGCAUUGGGGGAGACAAUCGUCACAUGUCUAACUGCUAUGAUAGAUUAUAUAUCUAACUCUAGUCACUACGAUUGCAAGAGCACUUGGAGCAAUCUACAACAUACAUAGAUUGGAAUAAACAUACACAUAUAACAAUAGAAAAAAAGGAGACAUAUGGAUUGUUAUUGAAUCGGAAAACAGGAAUUACAUUGCUGUGACAAAAAGAUAACCAUGGAGAUCAUACCUAUGAUCUAUUAUUCCUAGCUCUAGAACUCAGUGGUGGACCUUCCUUGCAGAGUGAUCACGCUAGCCAGAGCAUACCUAAGCUAAACUCCAGACGACUUGAACAACCCUUAGCUCCCUCUGGAUGAAUGUUCCUCAAGCCUCUCUUCUUAUGCGAGUGAUGGGGACCAAUUAAGGAGGGGAUAUUCAUAUCCUAAGGAGGCUGUGAUAUAAAUGGUAGGCAAAUGUGAGGAGGGGGAUGCUUGGCUGAUCGGCCAAGAAGGAUCCUGGCCGAUUGGCAAGCUCCCUUUCCUUUGGUAAGUGGUGUUGCUUUUCCCGCCAAGUUAAUCCCUGAUUUUUCAGAAGGACCAUGUCACUUGCAUGUGGGUCGAAACCACCGAAAUCCAUAAUAUAUGAACGGAUCUUCAUGAAUGUUGAUUGCGCCUGGCACUCCUUUGGUAAGUCACGUUGCUUUUCCCACCAAGUCAAUCCCCAAUGGUGGAUCCAGGAGGGGGGCUGCAGCCCCCCCUACUGGAUGCAGGUUCCAUUGGAGUAAGGGAGGAGAAAGUGAGGGGAUAAGACGAAAGGGAAGGGGAAGAGGAAGGAGACUUCAGCACCCCCUCCCCCCGGCUCUUGGAUUGGUCCGCCCUUGUCAACCCCUUAUUUUCUAGCAGAAUCAUGUUACUUGCAUGUGGGUCCUAGCUACCGAAAUCCAUAAUAUAUGAACGGAUCUUCAUGAAUGUUGAUUGCGCCUUCCAAUUCUGAGCUUGCACAUGGCUUGACAAUGACUGCUAAAUCCUCAAGUGCUUUGCCCCCGUUUCUCCGAGAAUGAACAUUCACCAAAUCUAGAUACGGGCGACAUAGUGGACCUCGAUCGACAGCCCACAUUUUUGCCUUCUGGUCUUCGUUCCUUCUAGGCUCGUUGUUGGUUUCUAGACCUUGAAUGUAAAUGCUGCGAGUUCAGCUAUAUUUUCAUAUGAACACACGACAUACUGUAAACAUAACAAUACCUAGAUAUGAUCUGAUUGUCUACUAUGAUCAAUGAUAAUGAUAAUGAUAUUAUUUUAUGCCAAUAAUGUUCAAGGUAAAUAGAGAUGGAAUUGUAUCAAUAAGGAGUGUCAAAAAACACUCCCAUACUGAAACCUUGCUGGUCCUUUGAGCGAGUCCUCCACAAAAAUCAGCAUUGCCCUUCAGUGCCAAUCCUACACACAUAAAAGCUAAAACAUAAUGCUCCAUUAGAUGAUCAAUUGAUGCUCAGGUAGUAGCCAACUUAUAAUUAUAGAGGAUAUACAUUUUUUUUAAUAAGGAACAAGCCACAUAGAAUUUAAUAUAAUGCUCUGAAAUUUAAGAAAACUUCAUAACUUUCAUUUCAGCUACAAGUCCCUUAAGCCUAUGCUAGAACAUUAUCAACAUAUUCCACUCAUGUGAACAAGUGGAAGGCUCAUGUGGAACUUGGUAGGUAAAAAUAAUCUAGCAAAAUAUUAUAUCCAAACUAUUGUCAAACUAGGAUAAACUUCUAAUGGUCAUGAAAAAAUAAUGAUGGGAAAGAGAGGGAUGGAACUCGCACAAUUAGAUGGUGGAUAUAUGUAAAGGCAAAUGGGUCAUCCCAAGACACUAUGUAGUUCUUGUUAUCGCAUUGCACCUGGUUGAAAAAAUGAUCAUGUUUUUGCAAUAACGUUUUGGUCAAGUAAGUCAUUAAGUUUUGGUCAUGGUCCACUGAUGAUGCCAGCAGGGCAUGUGGCACGCUCUAGUGCGGCCACAUGGCACCCAUGUGUUUUUCUAAUUUUCGAAAAUUAUUUAAAAAUCUAAAAAUUGAUUUAAACUUCAAAAAUUCAUAACUAUUUCAUUUUAACUCCAAAAAUUAUGGAACUAGUUUCAUAAUUUUUCUUAAAUCAUGAAGCACAUGGUAGACUAAGUAUUGAUCUUGUUUGGACCUUCUGUAGAUCUGUUUUGGAUUUAGUUCGCUUUUAGACCCCUUUGAUUAUGGUAUAUACAUAUUUAGGAGCCACUGAAGACCCGCAGCUGAACCAGGGGCAGAACUACAAGGAGUACUUCAAGGAGGAGGAAUACUACUUAGGUUCACGCCCAUUCCAUUUUGAAUACCUAUUAAGCAUUGCUCGAUUAGUUUGCUAGUGCUUUAUUUAUCUUUUUUUAACUGGAACAGCAGGGGAGGCCCCUACUGAUUUUUUAUAUUAAAGGAGAUAAAAUAUGUACAAAAGGUGUGGACUACAAGUGAAACUACCUGAAUUCACAUUUCUGAGAAUUCAAGCCUACGCAUCUCUGUGAUAGUCCCAGGAAGGCUAUCAUAUGCGAAUUCUUAACGCAGAUAGUACAAAUCCAUACCAACACAGAAAUAUAAAGUAGCAACAGAGUAAUAAUAUUAUAAAUAACGAGUACAUCUCUUCGGCUCAUACAGGUACAAGUCCAUCAGGAUUGAAUCAUGAAAGGUAAAACAUCUACGCAGUGGAAACAUGAGCUAUAGCGAACACCACCUCCAGAGGCAACUUGAGCGAGGGACCAUCCCUAGUUUUCCUAUUCGUCGUUGUUGAAGUUGUAGUCGGGCUCCGACCCUGAAAAGCCACCAUCUACCCGAGAAGUGGGUAAGGCAUGUCAACUCCCAAUAGCAGCAAGCCAAGAAAAUGGGGGAAUAAUACUAUAUGCAUGGAUAAACCUAUAUAUGGUUGUAGAAGUUUAUGUAGCAACAAUAGCAAUCAAGGAUGCAUCAAAGCAAUACCAUCUUCGAGGUCAACACCUCACAACAAGGAAGUCGUCACAAACCACCAGAUCCUUCACCUAAGAAUCUAGUACACAAACACACUAGGUGAUGUGAGAGCUCCCUUCCCUCACAUCUCAACGUCAAACGCCAGCCUAUCUCAAAAAAGGGGGGAAGGUAGAAGUGUAGUAUAAGUGAUACGAACCCGAAUGAUGAGGACAUCACAUGCUUGGAUACAACCAUAUUGGCAUCUUUUGACUCCGAGGUGAAACGAUUCUUUAUCAUAAUUAUAUGUGACACAUUUGAUGAAUUGAUGCUGCACCAUGAUGUGUAUUCGUUGUCAAUUUCAGAAAUACAUACAUGGAUCAAAAAUAGUGUUAAACACACAUGGAAGGCAUGGAGGACCAAAGAAGUAGAUUGGGGGCCAAGUCCAAGUAUUCCUAACGUCCUCCACCAGGCCACCACGUCACUUUUGGCCCAAGGAAAGAAAGAGAUCCAAUCCAACACGUUUUGGUGCUGGAUUCGGACUACAGUUCUGGCCCAACUUGCAACGACCGCCACGACCUCAUCCGGACUCCGUUUUGGGCGUUCAAGUACUCUUUGGAAUCCUUAUGAAGUCUAUUUUCAUAUGGAUCCGGACUCAUGUCCAUAUCUAGUCUGAGGCGACCGCAAUCAUCGAAAUACUACCGAGAGGUUUUCUGUCCACAGGUGCUGCGUCGCCCUAUUUUGGCCCGAUGGGCCGUGUAUCAAGUUGGGUCCAUUAGGGACGUGUCCUAGGGUUGGAGCACGACCCCAACACCCCCCUGGUCGUCCUCCUAGGUAUUAAUAAGGAUUAGAGCCGCCACGAACAGAUUGGGUUUUGUUUUGUUGAAAGUUUAGCCAUUGCUACUUCCUUGUAGACGCGUGUGUCGACUAGACCAUCUGUUCUACUCGAUUCAGAACCCCAACUUUGUGUUUUCAGAUUUGUUUUCAUCUCCAUAUUUGCAAUUCAGUUGCUUGUUCUACUUGUUCUUGCUUGUUCUUCGAUUGCUUGCAGGACGAGUGCCCUAGUGGCCGGGUGACGCGCUCCACAAGAUCGCGGCAGCCAUUGGAGGUGGUGUAUCGGUUGCUAAGGCGCAGCUUGGAAGGCUGUAGUCGGGCCGUGAACGUCGUCUCCAUCGACCAAUCGAGUUAUCCACGCCUCUCUCAUCGAAAGAUCGGGAAUCAACCCUAGCGGGUUCGUAUCAGUUGGUAUCAGUUGGUACCAAAACAUGUUGGAUUGGAUCUCUUUCUUUCCUUGGGCCAAAAGUGACGUGGUGGCCUGGUGGAGGACGUUAGGAAUACUUAGACUUGGCCCCCAAUCUACUUCUUUGGUCCUCCAUGCCUUCCAUGUGUGUUUAACACUAUUUUUGAUCCAUGUAUGUAUUUCUGAAAUUGACAACGAAUACACAUCAUGGUGCAGCAUCAAUUCAUCAAAUGUGUCACAUAUAAUUAUGAUAAAGAAUCGUUUCACCUCGGAGUCAAAAGAUGCCAAUAUGGUUGUAUCCAAGCAUGUGAUGUCCUCAUCAUUCUCCCCUUCUUGGCUGCAAGUCGUCCUCGACUUGCUCCAAUGGCAUUCUAAGGAAGUUGCUUUGAUGUUGGAGCACGGAGCGAUGACCAUGCUGCAUGGGCACAACGAGUAAUGCUUCCCUUCUUUGGUCUUACCCUGUUGCAUAUGAGAAAAACUAGAAAAGCUUUGCAAGACAUUAUUAGUGUUAGUGCAGCCCUCUAUUUGAUCUUGGUAUUGGUGCCCAAAAGGAUAUUUCAUAUGAGAGCAAAAAUAAACUUUAUGCACCAAAUAUUCUCCUUUGCUGUCGUAUUUGCCAAUUGGAUGAAGCAAACAAUGAUUAAAGCUUGGCAAACUAGAAUCAAAUUUAAGUCUCUCUUUUAGACAACUUAGAUUACACAGAACAUCAAAUUCAAUAUAACCCAAAGUAUUAAAAGAGGAUAGCAAAUUCAGUUCAUCUUGUGCACAACUAAUAGGAUGAAAAAGCUUUGCUUCAGCACAUUUAUAUGUUUCCAAAUGAAAAGUAUCACACUUAUUUGUUACUUGUGGCAUAGGAGUAAAAGAAUCAUCAUCACACAAGUCUUCUUUAUCACAAGGAACAGCAAGUAAUUCAUUUUGUGACAAAGGAAAAUCAACAGUGGGUUCCACUAUUUGUUGCUCGUCAUUAGCAUGCAAGGUGGACAAAUUUUGGACAUUAUGGGUCACAUCAUUAUUGCAAGUAUUCACAGAUAAUAGAAUCUCCUUUUCAGCAUUGAGAGCAAGACAGUACAAUUGAGCAAGAUGCAUGCAUGAUUUGCUAAUUAACAAAGUUCGAAUUUCAGAAUUGAGCCCUCUUAUGAACCUACUCAUCACAUCUUCCAUGCAUUCGUCUAAUCCACCAUACAUGAUACAAAUUUUAAAAUCAUGGAAGUAUUCUUUCACAGUCCUACUACCUUGCCUCAAGUUGUCUAAUUUAGCAAGCAAAUAAUCAGCAUAAUAUUCAGGAAUGAAUGCAUCUCUAAAAAGAAAUUUAAAGUCUUCCCAAGAUUCUAGAAGUUUCUUACGCCUACAAAUGUGUUUCCAUUGUAGCAAGGCAAAUUCAGUCAAAAUAUUAGAGGCAAUAUAAAUCUUUUGUUUCUCGGACAGGUCAUGCUCAUCAAAUUCAUUAUCUACUUUUAUCUCCCAAUCAAUGUAAGCUUUAGGAUCAAACUUACCAUCAUAUAACGGCAAGUGUUGAAUAACACCCUGAAUAUGAGAGUCUAGUUUCAUCAGCUCCAAAAUCUCCGUAUCACCUGUCAUGGUUAGUAGGAAACAAGAAACACAAAAAUAAUAUGUAUCCUCCUGUCAACUACUAUGAUGUGUUGGUUGUAAUUCUCUCAAACUCAACUUGUAAAAACAAGCCCUUACAAGUUCUUACCAAGCCAAACAGGAGGUGACGGCAACCAACAAGUCUGCAACCGUGGAGUGAAGUGUAUCGAUGCCGCAGCAACAAAAGCCUAUCAAGCUGUAGUCGAAUAUGUGGAGCUCUAGGUGGGCUAAAGCAAGGAAAUAUACUAGCACCACGUUAGUCACAAAAGCAAGCUGAAUAAUAGUUCAACGGUGGUACUGUGCUGGUCCUAGCCUAGACCGUGCUAGAGACGCGAGCCUGGACACAAAGGAAGUCACAACACACCACCGGAAAACAAUAGGGAAGCACAACGAACAGCCCCUUUUCUUCCUGUUUUUUUUGUCUUUCUUUUCCUUUUUUUUUCUUCUGUUUUUUUUUCUUCUUUUUUUUUUCCAGGGGAUCCUCAAAUCUGAUUAUAUGAACAAAAGGACUUCACAAGAGUCACACACCACACAAACUUUUUCCGAAAGGAUAGAAAUCAGAUUUGGACUCAAGACAGCAACAGGGCAGCUGUCAAUUCGGACUCCAAACCGAUUCCAACUUGAACUCAGCACCACGUGGGAUUUGAUCUUAAACAAACUCGGAGUAGGACUCAGACUUGAAUAUAAACAUGUAUUCAGAUUCAGCCAACAGAAGGUUUUAUACGGUAGCACACGGCUGUGACUGGAACGUGACAAGAACUCAAAACUCUAAAGGACUAAAACUAAGACCAGCAACUCAACACAACCGAAGCAACCAAAAACUCAACAAGCCCUAACUAAGCAGUGCUAGCAAAGGCUCAAAGGGUUUAUAGGAUUGCGGGUAAACUAAUCUACUAUUUUUUUUUGGCUUUUUCUGGACUAUGGAAAAUUAAAAACAGCAAAGAACUAGAAGUCUCUCACCGAUAAACCUUGCUCUGAUACCAACUGAUACGAACCCGCUAGGGUUGAUUCCCGAUCUUUCGAUGAGAGAGGCGUGGAUAACUCGAUUGGUCGAUGGAGACGACGUUCACGGCCCGACUACAGCCUUCCAAGCUGCGCCUUAGCAACCGAUACACCACCUCCAAUGGCUGCCGCGAUCUUGUGGAGCGCGUCACCCGGCCACUAGGGCACUCGUCCUGCAAGCAAUCGAAGAACAAGCAAGAACAAGUAGAACAAGCAACUGAAUUGCAAAUAUGGAGAUGAAAACAAAUCUGAAAACACAAAGUUGGGGUUCUGAAUCGAGUAGAACAGAUGGUCUAGUCGACACACGCGUCUACAAGGAAGUAGCAAUGGCUAAACUUUCAACAAAACAAAACCCAAUCUGUUCGUGGCGGCUCUAAUCCUUAUUAAUACCUAGGAGGACGACCAGGGAGGUGUUGGGGUCGUGCUCCAACCCUAGGACACGUCCCUAAUGGACCCAACUUGAUACACGGCCCAUCGGGCCAAAAUAGGGCGACGCAGCACCUGUGGACAGAAAACCUCUCGGUAGUAUUUCGAUGAUUGCGGUCGCCUCAGACUAGAUAUGGACAUGAGUCCGGAUCCAUAUGAAAAUAGACUUCAUAAGGAUUCCAAAGAGUACUUGAACGCCCAAAACGGAGUCCGGAUGAGGUCGUGACGGUCGUUGCAAGUUGGGCUAGAACUGUAGUCCGAAUCCAGCACCAAAACGUGUUGGAUUGGAUCUCUUUCUUUCCUUGGGCCAAAAGUGACGUGGUGGCCUGGUGGAGGACGUUAGGAAUACUUGGACUUGGCCCCCAAUCUACUUCUUUGGUCCUCCAUGCCUUCCAUGUGUGUUUAACACUAUUUUUGAUCCAUGUAUGUAUUUCUGAAAUUGACAACGAAUACACAUCAUGGUGCAGCAUCAAUUCAUCAAAUGUGUCACAUAUAAUUAUGAUAAAGAAUCGUUUCACCUCGGAGUCAAAAGAUGCCAAUAUGGUUGUAUCCAAGCAUGUGAUGUCCUCAUCAAUAAGUCUAGUCAGAGUAACAGAUCAGGGGACUAUCCAUCCCAAUGGACACGGACUAUAGCUAUAGGUUAUACACUCUGCAAAGGUUAUACAUCUGUACCUGCACGGAUGGAGCCUGAAUGGGGAUAUGCCGUCUAAACCCCACCUAACGGUCGGAGCCCUAGUAGGUGGCUAGCACUCUCUUGUUCCUCGAGUCUGGUAGUGUCUUCGACUGUAGGGCACGCCAUGACUAGUCGAAGAUCUCGAAGCUGUGAAACCUAAGCACGCCAGGGUGUAGUCUGGUCAGAGUAGGUCAACGUAUCGAAUUCGAAUUCCUUACACUGAUCCUCCAAUCCGCCUACAGGCUGAGUGCUAUCCACCACUAGUCUCGGACCGAACCCCGCCCAUAACGUGAGGGAACGGUAUGUAUGUAAAUGGUCCAAAGAAAUAUGCUUAAACUGACUCGAUCCUUAAGGGACAAGAGCGAGCACUCAACUCCACAAAGUAUUUGCCGAAGCACCAGCAAUGUACAGAUAUGCCACCUGCUCCUCAGUGUCAAAUAAGGUACUUGCCACAAGCACAGGGGGUGGAGAGAGUCCAGAAAGUUCUCCCCUAGCAAGGCACUCCUCAUUACCAACCGCGGCUCGCUCUCGCCAAAACACGUCAAAGGAUCACACGCACCCAAAACACACGCGAGGGUGUACAAGGAAUCCCAUCACCAAAUCCAUGGCAUAUGUCCAUCCAAAACUCAAAAGCAUGUAUAUGGAUAUAAGUAAGGUGGACUAGCUAGAGGUUCGCAGCUAGUCCACAAGUAGGUAACAAGGAAAGCAGGAUAAAUAAUUAUCAAGGCAUGGCUAGAAACAUAGGCUAUGCAAUCAAUCAUCAUCCAAGCAUCAUAAAUAAAGUGUUAGCAACUAAGCAUGCAUAGGUUCUAUAUGAUUGGGAGUGACAUGACACCUUGUCUGUCAUCGUUGAAGUCCUCCUCGGUGUAGUCGGGAUCAUAAGAGUCCUCGAGGUAGUAGCGAAUAUAAAUUAAUUGGCAUUUAAUCUAGGCAAAAACUCCAAGAUUUCUAAGUUAAGAUGAAUUAGUUAUGAAUUUUCAAAGGUAAAAGGAUUUAUUUAAUUAUUUAUUUAAUUUUGGAAAUUCAUAAAUUAGGUGACAUGUGUCAGCUUCUGUUUAAGCCAUGUGGCAGCACGGGAGAGUGCUACGUGUCGGCUGACGUCAGUGUUGACCGGUCAACGAUCAAUGUUGACUUGGUCAACAUUAUCUGGUUAGUGGUCAACUAGGCCCCACUGAUCAGCAGGUGGGCCCCACGGGUCAAUGGCCCCAAGAGUGGGCCCGACCCUUGACAAGUCAGUGCCACGUGGCCCCACGUGGCAGCCACGUGGCCGGCCUAGUCUUACGUGGCAUUGCUGCCCGCACACGUGGCCGUCCAGGCUGUGCCGGGAUCCGGUGUGCCAACCGGAUCCCGUGCGCCAUGCUCGUGUGGCCGAGCGUGGGGCGCGCACCUGAUUGGCUACGGCGGCGGGCGCAGUGUUGCGGCGGCGUGACGCAAGUGGUGAUUGCAGCCAUAAUGGCGCGGCGCGGGCUAGCACGCGGUGGGGCUGCGGGCAGCGUGGUGCGUCAAAGCAGGCGCGGUGGUAGGGUGGGGCGCGGCGCGGGGCUGCAGCCCGGCCAAAGGUGAAGGCUUUCGCUGCGGCAAGGCAGGCGUGAGGUGGCUGCGUGUGUGCGGCGCAGGGGAACCCCCUUCCCAUGACACGCCUGUGGCGGCGCGCGGGGUUCCGGCACCCCGAACUCGUGGCGGCCAUGGUGACGGUGGUGACGGCUGCGGCUCGAAGGCCGAUCAUGCAAGGGAUACGGGCAGCACGAAGGCCGGUCAGGCAGAGCAAGGGCAGGUGGUGGCGCAGCUUACCGAGGGUGGAGAAGAAGAGGGACGCCGGCACUGUGAAGCAUCGCAGAACGGCGGUGGCUUCCUCGAUGAAUGCGGCGGCGACUCCUCCUCCUAGGACGGCGACGAGGUAGCUCCGGUUCCUUCCUGGCGCGGCACGGCAGCUCCCUCCGACGCGCCCCCCUUCCUUCCUCUCCUCCUCCUCCUCUUUUCCCCUCUCCUCUCUCGGAUGGCUGGCGGCGGCAAGGGGGAAACCCUGGGUGGUUCGGGAUGGCGAGGAGAGGCUGCCAGCAGCGUUCCUAGCCUUUUCAUGUGAGCAAGCAGAACCAUUUCAUAUGGAAACAUGCUAUGAUGUGCCCUCUGUUAUGUUUUAGGCAAGCUUUCCUGCUUUUUUUGCCCUCUGUUAGCGUUAUGCAAUAACACUGCUAAACAUUAGGCAAUAUAUAGGUCUGAAUUAGGCACAAGAGCGCACUUCAUUUUGUUUGCUUUGCCUUCAGCCAGCAGUGUUGGUACUAGAUAUAUAGAAGCUAAUUAUUCAUAACUUAUUUUUUCAGCCCUGGUUUUGUUGUGUCACAACUCCCACCUUUAGACAAUAAUACCUUUUAGGUUAGGUAAAAAUAUGGUUAUAAAUUAGCUAAACACAUUAGGCAAUGCCAUUAAGCAUCUCAUUUUCAAGAGGUCAUACAGAACUAGCAGCACUGUUACUAGAUGUAUCAGGUAUAACCUCAGUAAUGGAUUUAAUGCAUCAAAUGCGACCUUUAUAAUUUUUCAUAGGCAUUAACCGCACAUGUAUUCAUCUGUUUUAACUUGCUGGUGGUGACUAGGUCUCAACGGCAAGUGUUCCUUUAUUUCUCUUCCAUUCUUCUUUCAUUUCUCUCGCAUGUGUUUUUUAUGGUUCGGAACUAGUAGAUCAUUUCCCAUGCUUCUUUAUUUCUGCCAUUUAACUGCUCGUGGUUGAUUCUUUCUAUUAUUCAGAACUGGCGAGUAAAUUCCCAACUGUUGUUUCUUUAUGUCGUUCCAUUCCCCAUGGCUGUUUAUUUCUGUUGUUUGACCUGUGUCCUCUGCUAACUCUGCUUGGUUCUUGGCUGUAAGCCACUCGCAGGAUCAGCGCUGGAUGUGGUUCAGGUGCUAACCGAUCUGAAGUUGACCAUCAUGGACAGUGAGUGCUUUUUGCAGCCUUGUUGCUGUCUUUGGAAAGUGUGACAUUUCACAUCCUUUUGCAUAUAAGUAUUUUGUGACUGCUGCAAGAAUAAAAUCUUUGUUGUCCUUAUUUUUUUCUUCACAUUAUCGUAAUUUGCCAACUGCUUUUGUUUUGAUUUGGUUAAAUUUUUGUAAUGAACUUUCCUACAAUCUUGUUCAAAAAGGUGAAAGGGCAUAUGAAUUAUAAAUUAUUGAAUGGUUUAGGUUUUUCUGGAAGUGCAAGCAAAUUUAUGCAUUCUAUUUAGCCAAGGCCAUCAAGGUCAUUUUAUACUAGGUCAAGUAAUAGUAGCAAAUGUCUCAUUGUAAUUUAUUAGGCAAUAAUAUGCUAACAGUAUACUUCACAGGACAAUAAUAAUAUGGUUCUUAAUUAGAAAAUACUACGUCUGCGAAUUAGCUAAUAAUAUUCUACUGAAUUAGGCAAAACAAUAUAUUCGUAAGGCAACAAUAAAUUUCUAAAAUAGCAAAUACUAUGGCCCCCCGAAUUAGGCAAUAUUAUGACAAGAAUUGGGCAUUGAUAUGGUUCUGGAUUAUGCAAAACAAUAUAUUUCAUUAGGCAAUUUUUCAUUGAGCAUUUUUCACAAUCCCUUAUAAUUAUUGUUUUCAAUAGUAGCUCAAAGACAACUACUACUACCGUGUACUAGAUAUAUAAGCUAGUUCUUUAGCCUGAUCUAACCUAUUUUUAAGUCUACUACAUAUUUUCUGAUUAUUACUUUCUUGGCGCAAUCCUGAAAUAAAAACCACAGGCAAAAAAUAUUGCUAGGUUGUUAAAUGCUAGUAGGUUGUGCAAUUCUAAGAUGUGAGUUCAUAUUUUGUACAUAUUUCCUGAUACAUUUUCCUUUGUUUUUCUUGACUUACUAGUAGAACUGUAGGCUAUAAGAUCAUUUUAUCAUUUUUUAAUCAUGUGUUAUGAUAAUUAUCUUACUAUUUUAAAAGAGUCAUGUGGCACUAGUCAACAUACAUAGCUCUGAACUAGGAAAAGAAUAUGUAAUGCAUUUCUUUAGACAAUAAUAUGAUAAUGGGCAUGCAAAAUGACAUGAUUUUAUAAAUCUGCAACCUUACAGUCUUUUAACAUUCUGAGCUGAAAAGAAACUAGAUACAGUGCUGAUAUUGGUACAACUGUUCUGAUCAUGCAAUUCUAAUCACAUUACUAAUUCAUGUAUGAAAAGUAAAAGCAGUUAAUGUGAGCUACUGUAUGUUUGACUAGUAGGAGAGUUUUGCAACUACAAUUAAUUUCCUAACGCUGCAAUGUAGACUAGAGUAGUACACUAAUACUUUCAUACAGUGAUUAUAACUUUUCUUAUAAACUUAUUUUAGUUUAUAAUUUUUAUUCUAGUUUUGGCAAAUUUAUAUUCCGAUUAUGUGCCCUCUUUUAUUUUAUAUACUGAUCAAUUUUUUUCUUGUUUGCUGAUUUGUGCUUGGUGUCAUAGCAGAUUCGCACGAACUUGAUGAUGGAGCUAAUCCAUGUUUUCAUUUUGGUGCCACGGGAUUAGGCCUGAAGACUUGAUUUUGUGAAUGUUUUGGAAAUGGAUGGGUGAAAAUGCCUUUGUAUAUGUUCUAAUUUACCUUUAGAUACGUUCUAAUUUACCUUUGUAUAUGUUAUAAUUUGCUUGCAUUGGUGAUCUGGCACGCUGUACCUAUGCCUUUUUUUUUUGUACUGGGCAAUUUUCCCAAUGUUCUGCGGUUCUUGGGUGGUUCAAUUUGUUCUCUAGUGCAGAAGCAGACAUAUCAGGAGUCAAACCUUGCCUGCACAGGCAGAAGACAAAAAUGGAAAGCGACUUGCUUUUCCUAAUCAUUACUGUCAAAAAUGGUGCGGCCGCGAUCGACCUGAAAUACGGCCGGCCGUAAAUUAGCAGCAUCCUAAAAAAUAACGGGAAGCUCAGGUGCGAGCGACCGCUGAUUUGGUUAGAGGCUCAAGUAGAACCUCCUCACAUCUCGGAUUCGACUUCUUACGGAAGCGAAAAAAAUCCUCUCACCUGCCACCAUACCAAAGCAUAAGAAGGUUUGAUCUAAUUCUCACAUGGAUCCACUUAGUAAGGGUGAGGUAGGAGUUCAGGAGUUUUCUAGGCUUACGUGAGAAGAUCUUCUUCUUAAGCAAAUGCCGGGGGCGUCAUACCCUCACAGGUCUAGUUUUUUAAUAGGAAGCUUAGUAACACAUGGACCCACUGUGUAAGGGUGAGAUAGGAGUUCAGGAGUUUUCUAGGCUUACGUGAGAAGAUCUUCUUCUUAAGCAAAUGCCGGGGGCGUCAUACCCCCACAGGUCUAGUUUUUUAAUAGGAAGCUUAGAUAUUACUAGUAGGAAUUUUCAUUCUUUUUGGACUCCCACACAAAGUCCCCCCUCCAUGAGUACCAACCAUGUUUUAAUGCUACCAGAUUCUACAUGUUUAAGACUGAACAAAGCACAAUAGAAAUGAUAGAACUAAUGUUCAGAGGCUUAGAUCAGUUACAGUUUUAGACUUCAGAGCAAUAGAUGCAUUAACUUUAUAGGGUCAGCAACCAACAAUCAGAUGAAAAAAAGAUUUGCAGUGUUGUGGACAACAUCCAGCAGUGUUCAGUAAGCAUAUGGUGAUUCUUGUUGUAAACUGAAUGUCUGAAGCCAAGUUAAUUUUGCCUCAAUGAAAAGCCUUACCGAGUUUGACAGUGGUUCUGUCGGAACAAAUUCUAGAAGUAAUCAAUUAGUUACCAAUCUGGUAAUGCAUGCACAGCUAUAAGUAUUCCUUUCAAUUAUCAAGUCCAACCAUGAACACAAGCAGAUAUAUUGAUUCUUGCUGAACCAUGUUUUUCAGCAGCAAGUUCUGCGUAGAGAAGAAAUUGAAGGCACCAUGAGCCAAGGAACGCUGCUAAUUUUUUUCUGAAUCUACAGGAAUUAACAGGGAGCGCAAGGUUCCUUGUACAGUGAUAGCAUGCGCCCAUACAGCUGAGCAAAAUCGAUGAAUCGAAGCAGAUAAACAAGACGAGAACCCGUAAACGCAAUGGGCACCUGCAUGAACUAGCAUUGAAAUUGCAAGUAGAUUUGCAAACCUGCAGAGAGAUCGAGGCGAACUCAGAAUCGUCGACCGCGUGGAGAAGAGCCCUCACCAGCCGCAGGUGGACCUCACCAUCUUCGAUCUGCGUGGGGAGGAUGCCAACCCACGAGCAGACCUCAUCACGGUCGAUCUGGGAUGGAUGCAUCGCCGACUGCAGAGAAAUUUGGAUUUUUCCCGUCCCAAGCGAUGUGCUUCGCAAAAUUACCAUAGUAAAUAUGGGUUUCGCAAAAUCACCAUCUAAAUCGUUCACAACUCGUUUUCCUUACCAUUUUCUCCCUUUUAUUCAUUUUUAAUUUACUUUUCCAUUUGCAAGCAUGGAAAUGGACCAAUUUGCACAUAUGCAUAACUUGUGGGGAUUGGAUCAAUCCCCUAAGAAUCACAUACUUCUCUGCACCCGUCGCCCUUGCCCGUCCUCCUAGCCAAUUGUCUUCUAUGUUAGAAACAAUGAACCCACAAACUAGAAUACAUCCAAUUGUGACCAUUAACUGUUGUAGCCGAGGCUAAAUGACCAUUCCAUCUUUCAUUCAGGGCAGUAGAAUCUAUACCCAGAUAUGGCCACAUCCUUCCAAAUAACCAUAGAUGCAUGAUUUAAGUGCACAGAAAAAUGAUAAAAAUACACAUUGCCAUCUAUUUCCAGAACUUCAAUCUCCACAACACUUCCAAGUGAAAACCAUCUGUAUAGCAUCUCAAACUCUCUUCCCAUUUACCAUAAAUCUCGGCGAGAGCUUUUUCUCUCUCCCUUCCAGACUGUGUCAUAUGAAAUUGUUAAUAUUCAUCCUGCAACUUUUUCUACAAUUCUUUAGCUCCCAUGUUGGGUGAAUUCCUAACGAUACUCACAGCCUUGCUAGCUCCCAUGUUGGGUGAAUUCCUAACUCCCAUGCGUGGUGCCGGAACUGACGGGAUUUGAUUUUGAUUCAAUCGAUCAAACCAGAUGAGGCAAGGGUAGAUUCGUCAGUUUAGGUGCCCAGAAAAUAUAAAAUGAAAAAGAAAUCACUAAAAUGAGGAAAAUGGUAAGGAAAACGAGUUGUCAGUGAUUUAGAUGGUGAUUUUGCGAAGCCCAUGUUUACGAUAGUAAUUUUGCGAAGCCCAUUGUUUGGGAUGGUUAAAGUCCAAAUUUCUCCCGACUGCAGGCAGACCUCGUCAUCAUCGAUCUGCUUGGGGAAGAGGCAUCGCCGACUACAGAUGGGCCAUGGUGUCGUUGAUCCGCAUGAGAGGAGGCCAUGGGAGGACCUCUUCCUCAUCGAUCUGCACGGGGACAAACUGCUGGAGGGUCUCGCCGAUGCGUGCGUCGUCGAGAAUGGGACACCACCGUCCAUGGAGGCCUCGGCCGUCGGGUUGCUGCUUCCCCGCGUCGUGGGAAGUGCCUCGCCGUGCUGAGCGAUGCCUCCCCCUCCCCCCCUGAUGGGCCAUGGUGGGGUUUCUAGUGGAGGACGGGAGAGUACGGAUGGAAAAACUGCGAACUAGCCCCACUAGGACGCUCGUCCUUGUUGCGGGGGGAGGCGAUGAGGGUGGCGUUGGAUCUGAGGAGGAGAUGGGGAGAGAGGUGAAUUGGAUGGGAGGUGCUAGGAGAUUUGCACAGAUGGCAACGCCACUGCCAAAGAGAUUGCCUCCAUGGGUGGCCGAUGAAGGGGAAGUGCGAGGGGCACAUGCUGGUGGUGGCGGGGUGAGGCGAGGUGAGCGGCGAUAGAUUUGAGGAGGAAACAGGGAGGAAGAGAGAGGUGAAUGGGAAGGGAGGAGGCGGCCAAUCUGAGGAGGUGAAUGAGAUAAAGAGCUAGGGUUUCUAAUGGCUGGCUCUUUUAUCCAUUUUAGUAUCGAUAUGAAUCGUUGGCUCAGAGAUGGACGGUCAGGAUGAGUCGGGUCUUAGCAGAAAACGGCCCAUGGAUUUUUUGGCUCAUUUAACCAAAUCAUUAACUAUUUUUAUUGCUUAUUUAGGCUCAAAAUUGAACUACAUGGACCCCUUAUAAGAUUAAAAAAAUAUGAGAAAAUUUAUAUUUAGGCUCAUAUGUACCAUUGUAGGCCAUGUCCUAAAGAUAGAUGAAGAAUUCAAUUAUUUGUUUGGGAUAAUAACACCAUUAAUCUCCAAAUUACCAUAGGGUAAUUGUAAUAAUAUCUAAAUUUGUUCAAAAUAUUCUAAAUUUUUUGUCGGAUUUAUAAGCCCGGUAGUCCACCAGAGGGUUACCCAAGUGGUUGAUUUGUAGGUGGAGGCGAUUGUGAAACUAAGAACUCGAAGGUGAUCGCGAGAACACAAGAGACAUGAGGGUUUUAGAUAGGUUCAGGCCUCUAGAGAGUAAUACCUACGUCCUGUAUUCUGGUUGUUUGUAUUGCUCGAGAAUUGAUGUGGGAUUUGUUGGGUCGCCCUUAGGAGGCUCCCUUGACCGCCUUAUAUAGGCUGACUGUAACGACCUCGAUUAAAAUCCUUCGCGUUAAUCUUAAUCCGAGUCCCUGAUCACCUGCCUCAGUUUACCAAGCCUAAGUGCUCAACCUCCAGAUCUCCCGACCCCCUGCGAUCCGACCCCUCGCCGUGUUUCCUCCAGUUCCGACCCCACCGAUCCCCAACCCACCGCCGGAUCUUUCGAAGUCUUCCCACAACGCCUCCCUUCAAUCUGAGCCGUGGACCACCGAAGCUGACCGGUGGACCCACGAGAUCUUUCUCCCAGAUCUCCCGCGACAGGCACACUCGAGUUGCAUGCCCGCUUUAGAGUUCCCUAGCCGCGUGGCUCAACUCCUCCGACGCCCGCCGCUCCGCCUCGUCGCCGGCCACGACCGGAUGGAUUCUCGCGCCCCCUUUCCCAAUUGCGGCGGAAGCUCCUCUGCCACCCUUUCUGCAGCACCUCGCCGCCCGCGCCCAUCAUCACAUCGCCAGAUCCCAGCUGCAGAGCCUGAUGCCGCCCGUCUUUUCCGUCACCCCUCCACAGUCGCGCCGCCCCGGUCCUCGCUACGUGACGAUUCCUCCUCCGCCAACCCAGACCGCGGCAGCGACAACUCCUUUUCCGCCUUGUCAGAAGCUCCGCCCCGACAAUCUGUUGCUCUGCGCUCGCCCACGCGACCGCAGCCGCCUGUCUUCUCACCUGUGCGCCCUCGUUUCUAGCGCCGUUUCCCCGAUCACUUCCAUUAGAUCCACCGCACGACGACGCCCACCUCCGCCAAAUCUCAACCAUCGGCAAACCCGCGCUUGCGCCGCCCUGACAUCGGUGCCCAAUGACCGCCGGUGUCGUCCCCGAAGUCCUGCUCCACCGCCCUCGUCGCUCAAUCGUCGCCCCGGUAGAGCACUCCAUCGCUCUUCCCCGGCCUUCGCGCCGCUCCCCCUUCCCUCUUCCGCGCAGCUAUAAAAUGGAAUGCUGGAGCCCCGUCGGAGUUCCCCUUGCCAUCGCUGCCCUCCCGCUUGCUCCCUGUUCGUGCUCACAGCGCCACCGCCUAAGUCUGAGGAACCCUCCUCUCCACUCAAACACCACCUUCCCCCAAUCCACCAGCCACUGUUUCCCGUGCUGCACAAGAGCUUGCUUGUGAUCCACCAGAAGCACCGCCGCCACCGGAGUACCACCGGACAUCCUCACCGCUAUCCCACGCCUUAGUCUUUCCGCCCAAGCCUCAUCUGUAAGAUGAAGGUAAGCUACCGACCCCUGUUCGCCUCGUCCGACCCCUCCUAUCCGCCCGACCCUGGUUCCGUCUCGCCCGACCCUGUCUGUUCCGCCGACCUUUCUCUGCCUUGCCCGAGGGCUCGUCUGUAUCUUUUUCCUUGAACCGAGGGUGUAUGUAUAAAACUUGGGGACUUUUCAGCGUUACGUCUGAGGACCCCUAGCACAUCUAUUCCUCUAGAUUAAGGGUCAGAUCAUAAGUUCCUCCCCAUCCGACCCUUAUAUCUUGAUCUCCACCAACUCAAUCGAACCUCCCCACCCUCCUGUAACUUGUCGCAAGUUUCUGGGCUCAAACUUGCAAGUGUUGCUGUUGAAAAUAACCGUCUAAAUGCUAACCAAUGCAUUGCAUUCGUGUAGAGCUGCGUCUCGCCGACGGCUUCUACGAGCUGCACCCGGCACCAGAAGACGAAGGUGUAGCCGAGCUCCUGCCUCCAGAAGCCAAAGCCGCCCAAGCAGACGAGCAGCUUCCCUCCUCCUUGCUCGAAGGCAAGCCCCGGAUGCAUGAAUCCCCUAUGUUUUACCAAACUUGCGCAUGCCUUAUUUAACAUGCUUGUGCAUUUACAUAUAGGAGUUGUUUGGAACCAUAGAGGCAUGACUUAGAUCCCUUGAUCUGAUCACUAGUUGUUGGACCGAGUAAAUGCUUUGCUUAAUUAGGAAACGGUAAAAGCCGAGUGAUUUCCUGUCACUCGCGAGCUGUAGGAGUUGGUUGUUUCCCUUCUGUUACAACUAUAAGGAUGAUGGACGGGGCAGGGUUUUGGGUAACUCUUUGGUGGUCGGUUGAUCACCUCGUCUGUCUAUGAAACUUGCUAAGGCCCGACAGUGGUGGUGUUCGUGAUCAAGUGUUUGAAAGUACUAAUCUCAUACCUAGUAUGGGAUGAGGAAGCCUAGUACCUGAUUGAACUAGGGCGUGGCUUAUACCCCUGCUGUCCCUGGAACGAGGUUCCCAUGGUGCACCAUGUGGGUGCAAGUGCGGUCACAAUACGGUAGAGACCGGGACUGUGGAGCAUUGCAUGCCAAGGGAAGUUUGGACCUGACACGCGCCUGGGAAUUGAUGGGGACGGCCGACACAGGAAGCGACCCUUGUGGUGCGCGGAUGUCGUGAGAUUAGGUUCUCCAUGCAUGGUUAAGAAACUCGAAUCGAUUCGUCUGCCUCUCACAGUUUGAGACUGCUCGAUCGCUAUGUCACCUUGAGUAAUAAAGGAAUCUGAUGAUGAUGAUGUAUAUACCUUGGUUGGUUCUAUGUCUGUUUAGAAGUAGGUUGCAAACUUAGACCGGAUAAUGAACUUAGAACCUGAGCUAAAACUUGAAAGUAGGGAUACACCUAGCGCUUUUGGCAAACAAACCCCUCAGAGAAAAAGGCCUUGCAUGUCUAGAAGUGGUGGAGUAGUGUACUCCCUGUCGGUUAAGUCUUGUUGAGCUUAGUAGCUCAGCCUUGUUGUGGCUCCUCUUUUUCAGGUGAAGUUGCUGCCUCUGAGCCUCCCUCUGCUGGCACUUGGCCGCCCCAACUCCCUCCGGGUUGGACGGUUGAGUGGGAUCCCUCCUCGGACGGCGAGGAGAGGGAUCAUUGAUGUCCCGGUUGGCCUCACCAGGGAUAUCCGACCCCGACGAAGGAGCUUCCACGCGUUGUUUUACCUUCUGUUGUUUUCUUCGGAACCUUGUAAACUCUGAUAUUGUUUUAUGGCCAAACUAAACGGUUAAUUUGUUAACUCAGUGGACUUGUUGUAUUCUCUAGAACCGCUCACCUUCGUGUGGGUUUGCUAUUCAGCCCUGGUCAAGUGGUUAAAUCGGAUGAAAUCCGAUGGCACUUCGUGUUUACUUGGUUAAGGCAUGAGCGUCGCAUAUCAGGCGGCUUAAUCAUGACUAAUCAAGCAAAUCCAAAGUGGAUCCGCCACAGCUAGUAUUAGAGCCGGUUUAGCAAGAUAGAGAACACAAUAGGCCCUAAUCACUUCUUUAAAAGAUAAAAGUUGCAAGCAAUUCUUUGAAAAAUCUCGUACGAUCGUUAAGGAUGACUUUAGUACGAGAGUCCCUAGGGGAUUUUGUGGUUGGUUUUAGGUGGCUAAUAUCUAAUUGGUUAUCUUGCUAACCCCUCCAGCACUUCGCCACGUUUAUCAUACGUGUGCCGAGUUCCGCAUCACGAGUAUGCGAGGGUUGAUAGGGAGUUCUAUUUGAAGGACCCUAUCAUCGCGGUUGUUUCGCCCACGUUUAUCAUACGUGCGCAGGUUCCGUAUGUUAAUUCAUACGAAGGUUGGUAUGGUUCGAUUCCAACGAACCUAUCAUCACGGUUGUUUGCCACGUCUAUUAUACGUGCGCUGAUUCCGCAUCACGAGUAUACGAGGGGUUAUACGGUUCCAUUCCAAGGGGACCUAUUUCCACAGUUGAGUGAUGUCCAUGCAGCCUUGAACGCAUGGGUGCCGUUCCUAUAGUGAACGGUAAUGUUUGAGAACGCUUUCGUGGGUGCUGGCACGAAAGGUUCAUGUGGUUGUGUUUUCUGCAGGUGCACUAACCGCGAUCGCUUAGGAAACGUGAUAGAACCGACUAGUUAUUAUAGGGAGAGACGUACUGGUUGCCUUGCCACCGGUACUAACCGCGUAAGACCAAGUUUUGGCAGUUGUUUUGGUUAAGAACGAGGUAGGCCGUGCAUGCGACAUAAGCUAAGAAUCUGUAAAGUUACCCGCCUCAAAAGCAACCUUGCUCGGAAAAGCUCUUCUUCGGUUCUAAGGAUUUCUAGUUUCUUCCAGCUUGUUCUUGGUUAAAAUCCGGAUGCUUUUUCUGUUCGACCCCUGGCCUUUAGAGUUCAUCUCACGUUGUUUUGGUUCUUGGUUCCAGAUGGCCGCCCCCGGACAUGUCCUGUAUGGCGCAGAUGGCACCUCCCAUUCGACGUGUCUGCACUUCGAGGGUUUUCCCGCUAUCUUGUGCACCUUGAAGUGGUUCGGGUACCAGUCUCCACCUUUGUAUGCGGGACAGUUGUACCUGGAGCGAGGCGUCCAAAGAUGCAACGUGCAGGCAGUAGUACCUCCCCCUCCUGCACGGCCUGACUGGCCCCAGUUUGGAAUCUCAGCAUACGGCCACACACAGGAAGACACCUGGGAGUCAGCUGCUCUACAGCUCCUCACUCAAUUCUGUCAGCUACACCCGCUGGAGGUCACCCUAGACCCCAUCGGCCUGUUCUCUGCCAGGAACUGGUUGGACCCGGUGUGGCUUGACUGCGUCAGCAACAUCGAGGUGCUUGCCACCUCCUACUCAAUGGUCACUAUCUCCACCAAUAUCCGGUGCAUGUCAGCCCUAUAUCGGCUGAUUGAGCUCCAAGGACGGGCCAUGGCUAUCCUUGCUCGGAUCGCCGCGGAUACCCAAGGACACCUCCAGGCCGCCAGAAGAGACAUGGUGGGCCAAACAUAUCAGCUCAUCCAACGAGGCAUUCAAAUCCACGACAUGCAGGACCGAAUCUCUGAGCUUGAGGGAGAAGUAGCCGACUUGGUGGACGGCAUGAUCGAGCUGUCAGAGGAAAAGAUGGAAGUAGAAAUGGAGCUGGCAGUUGCUAAUGCUCAUCUGGACGAGCAUCAUGCCGAGCUCGAUGACAUGCAUGCCCUCCAGAUGCAGCUGGAAGCUCAGGAAGACCCUGAGGAGGUUGAGGAAGCGUCCAGCAUGGACAUUGAAGAGGACGACGCCCCUUCUCCAACUCACAGUGUUCCCUCGUAUGGAGAGUUGUAGGGAACCCAUUCUUUUGUUGUACUCCUCGGCAGCCUAAAAUUUGGAUAGUCCUGUAAUAGGUUAGCCUUGAGUUGAGUACUCCUUGUGUUUCAGAACACCUUUGUAAAAAGAUCCCAGUGAAAUCAGAUCCUGAGUUUGACCUUUGACUCUUUGCAGAACGUUGGAAUGCUAGACCAUGUGAGUUGUGCUGUGACCACACACGCCGUUUUCUGUGGGUCUAUCCAAGUUUGGCCGACCCCGGGUCACGAGAUCGGAUGCGCCCGACCCCUCGAGGCAGUUCUCCGCCUCGUCCGACCCCUUUUUGUGGUUCGUUUUGGCCGGUCCCAUUUUCUUGAGUUGUUCGCCUAGCCCGACCCCUUGGUCUAAGGUCAGACAUAAUGGGACCCCUGGAAUCUGGUUAGGGUUCGCCCAAAGUCAUGUGCAGAGCUGAAAUGGCUGCUAACUAAAUGGCAAGAAGAAGUGUGUGUCUCCUUUAUAAAGCUGUGUUGGGUUGCCUUGUGGCCCGAGUCGUAUUGAGGAGUUAGCAUGUGCGUUCCCAUCUGUUGGAAUACUUCUAAGGUUAUGAAUUUAAUGGAACAUUAACUCUUGCAGAUGGCGCAUCGCACCAGAUCUGGUUCUGUGCCCAGCAGUAGCGAGCAAAGACAGGAUCUUCCCCUACCCCCACCCCCGUCUCCACUACAGGCAAUCUUAGCGGCUCAAACCGAGCUGCUGAGACAUCUGGUACAAGGGCAACAAUAGUAGCAGCCCCAUGGUGGAAGGGCUCAGCAGCAACCUCAUGUUGCUCGUUAUAAAGACUUCUUGGGGACGCAGCCCCCACUGUUCCAGAAGACCCAAGACCCGCUCGAUGCAGACGCCUGGGUUCGCACCAUCGAAUCCAAGUUCGAGCUUCUCACCGCUCAGUGCCCCGACCACAAUAACGCUCGGUUUGCAGCUCAGCAGCUACGUGGUUCCACCCGGCUAUGGUGGGAUCACUACCACGCCAUGUUGCUAGCCGACCAUAUCGUCAGCUGGAACGAGUUCAAGACAGCGUUCAGAGCACACCACAUUCUGGACGGUCUCCUGGAGCGCAAGCUCAAUGAAUUCCUGGCUCUUACCCAGGGAAACCGAGAUGUGUUACACUACGCUCAAGCCUUCAACGAUCUGUGUCGUUAUGCCGGAUAUCACGCGGACACCGACGAGAAGAAGCGGGACAGAUUCCGCAGAGGGUUGAGCUUGGAGCUCAGAGAAAGGUUAAACCCGAUAAGGGUGGAUACGUACAAUGAGUUGGUUAACCUGGCCAUCUCACAAGAGGACUGCAUGAAGGCUCAGGCAGCCGAGAGGAAGAGGAAAGCCCCACUGCCAACGCCCAACCCACCUGCGCAGCGUUUCAGAAUGGUUCCACCCUAGGCGCCCAACCGACCCCAGCAGUCGGGAAGGUGGAUUGCCCGACCCCCGCCAGCAGCAGCGCCCCGUUUUCCUGGUUUCCAACCACAGGCGCCCCGGCCAACCCUGCCACCGCCCGCACGCCCUGCAACGGGUAACCGCUGUUUUGCCUGCGGCGAUGUGGGGCAUUUCGCCAAGGACUGUCCCAGAAAUCAGAGCCCGCACCGCAGGCAAAGCAAUGCAACGCUCAACAAAGGGAAAAGGCCCAAGGUGCAAGUUCGCCAGGGUCGACUGAACUUCACCCACGCAGCAGAGCUUCCUGAAGGUGCGCCGAUAAUGACGUGUACCUUUCUGAUUCACAGUUUUUCAGCUUUGGUUUUGUUUGACUCAGGAGCUUCCCAUAGUUUUAUCGGGAGAAAGACCCGUGACAAGUGUGGGUUACAAGAAUGCCAAACCAGAGGGUCUUUUAGAAUAUCCACCCCGGGUGGAAUAAUCACAUCUGAUAGGAUGAGUGUCAAAUGCACCUAUUCAGCUGGGCCAAAACCUUUUUAAGGAAAAUCUUAUCAUCCUUGACCUGGAAGGAAUAGAUAUCAUCCUUGGAAUGGAUUGGAUGACCAGACACCAAGUGGUUCUAGACCCAGCUGCCCGAACCCUCCACAUCAACUCGCCCUUUCAUGGCAGUUCUACCCUGUUCUUGAAACAUCCUAAGUCCGCACUUCCCUGUGCGUACCCUCUAUCGCAAGCCCGGCUAGAAAGCCUCCCUGUUGUCUCUGAGUACCCGGAUGUGUUCCCAGAGGACUUGCCCGGCAUGCCACCCGAUAGAGAUGUGGAGUUUGCCAUAGAGUUGAUCCCCGGCACCGCCCCUAUCUCCAAAAGACCCUAUCGGAUGCCACCAGCUGAGCUGGCCGAGUUGAAGACCCAGUUGCAUGAUGUGUUGGAAAAAGGUUUCAUCCAACCCAGUGCAUCACCCUGGGGUUGCCCGGCCCUGUCUGUGAAGAAGAAGGAUGGCAGUCUACGCAUGUGUGUAGACUACCGACCUCUCAAUGCGGUGACUAUCAAAAACAAGUACCCACUCCCCCGCAUUGAUAUCUUGUUCGAUCAGUUAGCUGGAGCUAGAGUGUUCUCCAAGAUCGAUCUUCGUUCAGGUUAUCAUCAAAAAUCAAGAUCCGACCAUGUGACAUCCCUAAGACUGCCUUCUCCACAAGAUAUGGACUCUACGAGUACCUGGUCAUGUCUUUUGGACUCACCAAUGCACCCGCAUACUUCAUGUACCUCAUGAACUCGGUGUUCAUGCCCGAGUUGGACAAGUUUGUAGUGGUGUUCAUUGAUGAUAUCCUGGUGUACUCGAAGAGCGAAGAAGAACAUGCCAACCAUCUUCACGUAGUUCUCCAACGGCUGAGAGAUCAUCAGGUCUAUGCCAAGUUCUCCAAGUUUGAAUUAUGGUUAGAUAGUGUCAAGUUUUUGGGACACACUAUCUCUAAGGAUGGCAUAGCCGUCGACCCCAGCAAGGUACAGGAAGUCAUGGACUGGAAGCCUCCUGCCUCAGUGCACCAGAUCCGAAGUUUCCUUGGACUGGCAGGCUACUAUCGGCGUUUCAUGCCGGACUUCUCCAAGAUAGCUAAGCCGAUGACAGAGUUGCUGAAGAAAGAGGUCAGAUUUGUGUGGAACGACAAAUGUGAAGAAGCCUUCAAAACCUUAAAGCGCUAGCUGACCACAGCCCCAGUUUUGGCUCAACCCGACCCCUCUAGGUCGUUUGACGUGUACUGUGACGCCUCUGGCACUGGACUUGGGUGUGUUCUUAUGCAAGACAACCGAGUCAUUGCCUAUGCCUCACGGGCGUUACGACCUCAUGAGCUGAACUACCCAACCCAUGAUCUUGAGUUGGCAGCAGUGAUCCAUGCCUUAAGGAUAUGGAGACAUUAUCUGAUGGGCACCCGCUGCAACAUCUACACCGACCACAAGAGCCUCGAGUAUAUCUUCACCCAAGCCGACCUCAACAUGCGCCAAAGAAGAUGGUUGGAGUUGAUAAAAGACUAUGAUUUGGAAGUGCACUAUCAUCUCGGCAAGGCCAAUGUGGUGGCCGAUGCUCUUAGCCGCAAGCCCUGUUGCAACUGCUUGUUGGCAACAACCUUCACUGAAACUUUGUGUCAUGAGAUAGGAAAACUCAGUUUGGAAAUUGUUUCCCAUGGAACCCUCAGCCACAUCGCCCUUGAGUCUUUUUUGGAAGACCAAAUAAGGUUAGCACAAGUGGAGGAUGAGGAAGUAAGGCGGAUCACCAGGAAGAUUUCCUUGAAGGAGGAAGGAUAUAAGCAGUUUUGACAGGAUGAAACUGGAAAAGUGUAUUAUGUAAACCGACUGGUCGUACCAGCCGACCCCAACUUGAGGAAGCAGAUCCUAGAUGAAGCUCAUCUCUCCAAGUUCUCAAUCCACACAGGCAGCAAUAAGAUUUAUCAUGAUCUCCGUCAAACUUUCUGGUGGAGCGGAAUGAAGCCGGAAAUUGCCCGGUAUGUUUCAAAGUGUGACACCUGCCAACGCGUCAAGGCCAGUCAUCUAAAGGUAGCAGGUACUCUACAGCCCCUACCUAUUCCCUCUUGGAAAUGGGAAGAUAUCAGCAUGGAUUUCAUUGUUGGACUGCCCCUUUCGUCGCAGCGACAUGAUUCAAUUUGGGUUAUCGUGGACCGUCUGACCAAGACCGCCCACUUCCUUCCUGUCCACACCACCCACACGAUCAAGCAGUAUGCAGAGCUGUACCUCGACCGCAUAGUUUCCCUACACGGUGUGCCUAAGACCAUCAUCUCUGAUCGAGGAGUUCAGUUUGUAGCACGCUUUUGGGAACAGCUGCAAGCAACCAUGGACACCAAACUCAUUCGUAGCUCAACCUAUCAUCCUCAAACCGAUGGUCAAACCGAAAGAGUCAAUCAGAUCCUUGAAGACAUGUUGAGAGCUUGUGUCAUCCACUAUGGCAAAAAUUGGGACAAGUGCCUGCCAUUGGCGGAGUUCUCCUACAACAAUAGCUACCAAGCCAGUUUGAAGAUGGCACCGUUUGAAGCCUUGUAUGGACAAAGAUGCCGGACACCAUUGAAAUGGUCCCAAGCGGGAGAGAGACAAGUUUAUGGCCCUGACUUAGUGGUAGAAGCCGAAGAGCAAGUGAAGGUAAUUCAGGCAAAUCUCAAGGCUGCCCAAUCCCGACAGAAGAGUUACUCCGAUAGAAGAAGAAGGCCCCUGCAGUUUGACAUUGGUGAUCAUGUGUAUCUUCGAGUUUCCCCAACCAAAGGAGUGCAACGGUUUGGAGUGAAAGGGAAAUUGGCUCCCCGUUACAUUGGCCCAUAUGAGAUUGUGGAAAUUUGUGGACCCGUUGCCUAUCGGAUCCAGCUCCCAGAAUAGCUCUCGGCCAUACACGAUGUUUUCCAUGUGUCUCAACUGAAGAGAUGUGUCCAGGUCCUAACCGAGAUCUUAGAACAGGAGCUUCAAAUCGAGCCUGACCUAACCUAUGCAGAGUACCCGGCCAAGGUCCUUGACCAGAAAGAGAGGCGCACCCGACGCCAAGUGGUCAAAAUGUACAAGAUCCUCUGGAGAAACCACAUGGAGGAUGAAGCAACGUGGGAAACAGAAGAGUACUUGAACAAGCACUUCCCAGGUUUUCUUUCCAGCCAUGGAGGUAAGGGCUACACACCCCCACCAGUUGCUUCUACAUCCGAAUCUCGGGAUGAGAUUCUUCUUAAGGGGGGUAGGCUGUAACGACCUCGAUUGAAACCCUUCGCGUUAAUCUUAAUCCGAGUCCCUGAUCACCUGCCUCAGUUUACCAAGCCUAAGUGCUCAACCUCCAGAUCUCCCGACCCCCUGCGAUCCGACCCCUCGCCAUGUUUCCCCCAGUUCCGACCCCGCCGACCCCCAACCCACCGCCGGAUCUCUCGAAGUCUUCCCACAACGCCUCUCUUCAAUCUGAGCCGUGGACCAUCGAAGCUGACCGGUGGACCCACGAGAUCUUUCUCCCAGAUCUCCCGCGACAGGCGCACUCGAGUUGCAUGCCCGCUUCAGAGUUCCCUAGCCACGUGGCUCAACUCCUCCGACGCCCGCCGCUCCGCCUCGUCGCCGGCCACGACCGGAUGGAUUCUCGCACCCCCUUCCCCAAUCGCGGCGGAAGCUCCUCUGCCACCCUUUCUGCAGCACCUCGCCGCCCGCGCCUAUCAUCACAUCACCAAAUCCUGACUGCAGAGCCCGAUGCCGCCCGUCUUUUCCGUCACCCUCCACAGUCGCGCCGCCCCGGUCCUCGCUACGCGACGAUUCCUCCUCCACCAACCCAGACCGCGGCAGCGACAGCUCUUUUUCCGCUUUGUCAGAAGCUCCGCCCCGACAAUCUGUUGCUCCACACUCGCCCGCGUGACCGCAGCCGCCUGUCUUCUCACCUAUGCACCCUCAUUUCUAGCGCCGUUUCCCCAAUCACUUCCAUCAGAUCCACCGCACGACGACGCCCACCUCCACCAAAUCUCAACCACCGGCAAACCCGCGCCUGCGCCGCCCUGACAUCAGUGCCCAAUGACCGCCGGUGUCGUCCCCGAAGUCCUGCUCCACCGCCCUCGUCGCUCAAUCGUCGCCCCGGCAGAGCACUCCAUCGCACUUCCCCGGCCUUCGUGCCGCUCCCCCUUCCCUCUUCCGCGCAGCUAUAAAAUGGAAUGCCGGAGCCCCGCUGGAGUUCCCCUUGCCCACGCUGCCCUCCCGCUUGCUCCCUGUUCGUGGUCACAGCGCCACCGCCUAAGUUUGAGGAACCCUCCUCUCCGCUCAAACACCACCUUCCCCCAAUCCACCAGCCACUGUUUCCCGUGCUGCACAAGAGCUUGCUUGUGAUCCACCCGAAGCACCUCCGCUGCCGAAGUAGCACCGGACAUCCUCACCGCUGUCCCACGCCUUAGUCUUUCCGCCCAAGCCUCAUCUGUAAGACGAAGGUAAGCUACCGACCCCUGUUCGCCUCGUCCGACCCCUCCUAUCCGCCCGACCCCAGUUCCGUCUCGCCCGACCCUGUCUGUUCCGCCGACCUUUCUCCGCCUCGCCCGAGGGCUCGGCUGUAUCUUUUUCCUUGAACCGAGGGUGUAUGUAUAAAACUUGGGGACUUUUCAGCGUUACGUCUGAGGACCCCUAGCACAUCUAUUCCUCUAGAUUAAGGGUCAGAUCAUAAGUUCCUCCCCAUCCGACCCUUAUAUCUUGAUCUCCACCAACUCAAUCGAACCUCCCCACCCUCCUGUAACUUGCCGCAAGUUUCUGGGCUCAAACUUGCAAGUGUUGCUGUUGAAAAUAACCGUCUAAAUGCUAACCAAUGCAUUGCAUUCGUGUAGAGCUGCGUCUCACCGACGGCUUCUACGAGCUGCACUCGGCGCCAGAAGAUGAAGGUGUAGUCGAGCUCCUGCCUCCAGAAGCCGAAGCCGCCCAAGCAGACGAGCAGCUUCCCUCCUCCUUGCUCGAAGGCAAGCCCCGGAUGCAUGAAUCCCCUAUGUUUUACCAAACUUGCGCAUGCCUUGUUUAACAUGCUAGUGCAUUUACGUAUAGGAGUUGUUUGGAACCAUAGAGGCAUGACUUAGAUCCCUUGAUCUGAUCACUAGUUGUUGGACCGAGUAGAUGCUUUGCUUAAUUAGGAAACGGUAAAAGCCGAGUGAUUUCCUGUCACUCGCGAGCUGUAGGAGUUGGUUGUUUCCCUUCUGUUACAACUAUAAGGACGAUGGAUGGGGCAGGGUUUUGGGUAACUCUUUGGUGGUCGGUUGAUCGCCCCGUCUGUCUAUGAAACUUGCUAAGGCCCGACAGUGGUGGUGUUCGUGAUCAAGUGUUUGAAAGUACUAAUCUCAUACCUAGUAUGGGAUGGGGAAGCCUAGUACCUGAUUGAACUAGGGCAUGGCUUAUACCCCUGCUGUCCCUGGAACGAGGUUCCCAUGGUGCAUCAUGUGGGUGCAAGUGCGGUCAUAAUAGAGACCGGGACUGUGGAGCAUUGCAUGCCAAGGGAAGUUUGGACCUGACACGCGCCUGGGAAUUGAUGGGGACGGCCGACACAGGAAGCGACCCUUGUGGUGCGCGGAUGUCGUGAGAUUAGGUUCGCCAUGCAUGGUUAAGAAACUCGAAUCGAUUCGUCUGCCUCUCACAGUUUGAGACUGCUUGAUCGCUAUGUCACCCUGAGUAAUAAAGGAAUCUGAUGAUGACAUGGUUUUGAUGAUGAUGUAUAUACCUUGGUUGGUUCUAUGUCUGUUUAGAAGUAGGUUGCAAACUUAGACCGGAUAAUGAACUUAGAACCUGAUCUAAAACUUCAAAGUAGGGAUACACCUAGCGCUUUUGGCAAACAAACCCCUCAGCAAAAAAGGCCUUGCAUGUCUAGAAGUGGUGGAGUAGCGUACUCCCUGUCGGUUAAGUCUUGUUGAGCUUAGUAGCUCAGCCUUGUUGUGGCUCCACUUUUUCAGGUGAAGUUGCUGCCUCUGAGCCUCCCUCUGCUGGCACUUGGCUGCUCCAACUCCCUCCGGGUUGGACGGUUGAGUGGGAUCCCUCCUCGGACGGCGAGGAGAGGGAUCAUUGAUGUCCCGGUUGGCCUCACCAGGGAUAUCCGACCCCGACGAAGUAGCUUCCGUGCGUUGUUUUACCUUCUGUUGUUUUCUUCAGAACCUUGUAAACUCUGAUAUUGUUUUAUGGCCAAACUAAACGGUUAAUUUGUUAACUCAGUGGACUUGUUGUAUUCUCUGGAACCGCUCACCUUCGUGUGGGUUUGCUAUUCGGUCCUGUUCAAGUGGUUAAAUCGGAUGAAAUCCGACGGCACUUCGUGUUUACUUGGUUAAGGCAUGAGCGUCGCAUAUCAGGCGGCUUAAUCAUGACUAAUCAAGCAAAUCCGAAGCGGAUCUGCCACACUGAUGACCUAGAGUUACAAGUCGGUUUGAAUCCAAUCUACUCGGUUGUUACAUGGAAGGUGAUAUGAAUCGGAUUAUAAUACGUAUCCGCAAUAUCCGGGAUGAUUUGAAUUUCCCGGUCUCAUUGACUUAUGCACCAAGUAUCUUCAAAUCCUUGGCCCGCACGUUUUGGUCAGGCGGGCCUACUUGUCAAGUCCGACCAGUAUCCUGGUCAGUGGGGACCCAUGGGGUACCCAUAUCCCUCAAGCCCCCGAGCGAUGUGUAGGCAAACAGGAACUUGAGGUCAUCACAGCGAAGCUUGGAAUGUAGUUGACUAAAGCUAUGAUGGCGUAAUGGUGACGGAGAGGCUGCACAAUGCUCAAUAAAGAAGAAAAUCCCAACGAACAUGGAGCCAAACACGCAGAGUGAAGUAGAGUGCCGAGUUGAUGGAUGGCGGACAUCUAGUAGGUUGAAGCGAAGGAAAUGGAGGGCGUCACAAGAUGCACUCUAGAGGAGUAGCCCUUGAGCAUUGACGCAAUUAGUAUAAUCGGUCCAAUGGUCAAAGAAGAAAAAAUUGAUCCGAGAAGCAGAUCCUAGUGCCUAAACACGACGACAGGAAAAACCACAGAGGCGCGCUGACCAGAAGUAGGCGUCCAGCCCCUUGAGGAUGAGGACUGGCAGAGCCACGGAGGCACGCCAACCUGAAAUAGGCGCCUAGCCCCCGAGGACGAGGACUGGCAGAGCCAUGGAAGCAUGCCAUCCUAAAAUAGGUGCCCAACCCUCGAGGGUGAGGACUGGCGGAGUUUUGGAGGCACGCUGACCUGAAAUAGGUGCCCAGCCCCCGAGGAUGAGGAUUGGCGGAGCCGCGGAGGCACGCCAACCUGAAAUAGGCUCCAAGCCCCCGAGGAUGAGGACGGGCAGAGCCACGGAGGCACGCCCUAGGAAAAAUAAUAAAAAAUUGAGUAUUUAUUUAAUGCCUUCUUUUAAGGUAAUUAAAUAAAUGCUUAAUCUUAAUAAAUACAUAAAAUAUGGAAUAACAUUUCAUAAUCACAAAUUAUUGUUAACUCAUAGGAAAUUAGGUUUCAAGAUUAGAAAAUAAUUAUAAUAUCUUCUAAAAAUAAAAGAAAAAGCCCUAAGUAAGGUUAGUUAAGGAAAUAAAAUUGUUGGGCUAAUCUUUUCGGGUUUUUGUGUGUUGGCUUGCAACUUUAUCAUGAUAAAUUAUAUAGUCCUUGUUGGCUUGCAACUUUAUCAUGAAGGAAAGUUGUAUAGUCUUGUAUUCAAAAAAGUUGCAUUCCUAACCCCUGCAUAUGCUUUGUCAUAGACACCGAAGCACCAGAAGGAGAUUUCUCGGAAUUUUCAGAAGGAUCUCCAGAGUUUGAAGAGGUCUUUGAGUUGGUUCCCUGCGAGGCCAAUCCUUCAGAUAGUGCUAACUUUUUUAUAGAACAAGGCAAGCCCCGAUGCAUUAUACCUAUUAUUUUAGAGUCGAUAUUUCAUGUGUCCAAUUAUCGGUUAUUUGCUAUAUGUAUGCACUAAGUCCAGGAGUUGCUUGAAACCCAUUCUUGUGCAUUAUCCUACCUUGUUUUAAGGACAUCUUUGCCACUUGUUCAAACAUUUAGUAAAUAACCCAAGUCUAGAAAUGCUUAGUUGCUUAAAUAAUUGGUUACCGAACCUUAAGGUAAAUAUUGAGUCAGGCAUGUUAGUUACGGAAAGAUAACUUGGAAGAUAAGAAGCGGACAGAAGCUAAGGAUGUAGUUCUGUCUGCUAGAUUAAUUUGGUUAAGGCCCGAUUCGUUGUCUUAACCUUUGAUCAAGUGAAAGACAUCUGAUCACUUACUGGGUAUGGGACCAGUAAAGCCCAGUAGGUUAGUAAACCCUCUGAUCGGGAAUACUUCGUACCCGCGCUUGAUGUGCUGGAGAUUGGCAGGGGCGUAGCCUGAAACUCACAUGGUGAUCAGGCCAUACGUGGGGUCCCAUGUGGGGGUGCGUCCCUAGGUCCGGGUAGUCUUAUUCCCAAUCAUUGGAUUUGCUAAUCGAAAAGUCGUUACGUACGACCUGGACAGUCGUAUAUAGCUGGUGAUCAGGGUACUCUCCUGCAGGAUGUAAUUUGAUCCGGAUCGCCGCAAUUCUCAGUUAUGAAUGCACUUGAUCACUGUUGAGCAUCGUAGCAUAAAUUCAUGAAUGCUAUAUCUCUCCACUAAUGUUUUGGUGUAUGACUUAACACCUUGUUGUUUGCAAUUAAUCUUUGGUCAUGAUUUAGAAUGGUUAGAUAAUAACUUAAUCAAAAUAAAAGACAAAGCUAAGGUCUCACUCUUAGUAAGCUAUUUUGCCUGAAAAAGCUAUCAUAUAGUUCCAAGAAAAACUAUUAUAUUGUUUAGUCGGGUAAGCCUUGCUGAGUACCUCGUACUCAGGGUUAUCCCUUGUGGCUAUUUUCAGAGGCACCGCAAGAAUCCACCGCGGAGGAAGCCCCAAAAAACUAGGGUAUUGUUAUGAAUCUCACAAUACCCUUAGAAGAAAUCUUAAAUGCUCAUCUCCCACCUGAACCAUUUAUGUUUAAAAUCCUAGAACCUCUGUCUAACCUGCACUGUUAAGUUUAUUUCAAACUAUGUCUUGUAAUAACUCGUACCUCGUGUAUGUAUGUAAAAAUGUAAUAUUUGUUGAUGCUUUCCCAUCGCGGAAACAAUCCUGAUGUAUGGCUAUGAGACGUGACGUGGAUCAUUCGAGGAGUCCUAGGGGAACUCGACGGACGACCGGGCUUAUACUGUUUUAAGUGCGUCUCGGAUAAUUGCUGCAUCGGCAGCGAUUAGGCGCAUUUAAAGCAGUUUAAGUUGGACGAUUCCACCACAGCUGGUAUUAGAGCCAUAGGUUGGGAUAAUCAAUAGAUAUUACCAUUUAAACACUGAGACUCUAUUUUAAAUAAAGAAAACGUGAGUCACAGGUGACAGUAGUGUUAACCGGUUGUUUGUUUUGCAGAUGCUAACUGUUUGCUGCGUGUCGCUAGUACUCGGUAGUAUAUUAUUAGGAAGAGAUUACGAUGCCACCAAUUUCUCUACGAGUGUGUAUAUGAGUCUGUGAGUACGUAGGAGUCGUUGCAUCAUGUUGCAUAAGCCUGUUUUAAAAACUUUUGGGUUUGGUGAGUGCCAUUAGACCUAACCUCGUUUCUUUUAUAGGAUGUUCCAAGAAGGCUACACAGACCAGGACGGAUGGACCCGAGGACAUUACUUGGACAAGCCAGGGUUUGUGCAGCUGUUAUGGAAAACGCUGCAGGAGUUAGGCUUCCAUAAUCCUCCGGAGUACUAUUGGAGGAAGGAGGACAUGUGUCAUAAGCAGUGUUGUACUGUUUAUGUUCAUAUCUCGGAUGAAGACACCAACCCCAAUUGGCGUCUUGAUGAAGUGAUGGAGUCGGGCUUCGAGUUUAAUGAUACAAAUGAAAGGGCAGCUAUGACCGCUCUCACAGACCUAUGUGAGAAACACAAAGUAGAAAUAGGGUCAAGCUCUGCUCGAUUCUAUCCUAUAAAGCAUCAAGAUGAUGGAAUUUGGAAGAGAAGGAUUAAAGCCCUGAAGAAUUCGUCUCGCGUGGAGCAUGAUGUUUUGGUUGCUGCUGCCUCCGACUAUAUGAUGGCCAUGUACAACAUGCAUCAGUCUUGCAUCAGGGAAUAUUAUAAUCAGAGGAAGAGAAAUGAAGAUGUCAAGAUGGAGGUGAUGGGUGCCAGACACGAUAAAGAGUUGUACAAGAAAGCAGCAUUAGCAAGGGAACAUGACAUGGAGAAGAUCAUGAGAGAACAGUCUAGAAGGAUAGAUGAAUAUGAAGAGAAGCUCAGGGCAAUGAAGGAAUUCAUGGAUGCCAGUAGGAAUAUGGCAGACAGGGCAAGAGAAGAAGCUGAAUCUAAUGUUAACAGGCUCGAGGUAGAAAGGUUCCAGCAGCUGGACGAAAUCUUAUCUCUUCGUCUUGCUUUGGAGGAAAUGCAGGCUCAGGUACCUGCUCAGAAUAUAGUCAAUGUUCCACCGCCUCCACCACCGGAUGAACCCCAACCGCCAAACCCAGAAGAAGCAGAUCAGUUGGUGGACGUUGUAGGAGUGGAGGGUGAUAUUGCUCCACCUGCAGCUCCCGAGAUCGAUUUAUACGCUCACGAAAAUUUAGAAGGUUUUGAUGUCGACAUGGGAGAUGAUUUGGGUGAAGCUCCAAUGGAAAACCAUCACUUUGCCUGGGCCGAUGCCAAUGCAUAUGGGUUAGAUCCACAAGGCUAUGGACCUCUGCAGCAGUGGGGUGAAGCCGAGCAGGAAGGCGGGGAAGAAGAAGAAGACCUAGAAGAAAUGGAGGGGAAUUCUGGAGUUAGUACCUCUGCAUCAUAUACCUCCUAUACUUCAAGUGACCCUGGGCUAGAGUCGGAAAGUGAGAAUUCAGUAAAUCAGCCCCCACCUGUCACUCCUCCGGGAUAGACAUUGAUGACGAUGGACCAGGAUGUUCUGCAGGCUGCGAUAGCCCGGCUAGGACUAAAUGCUGAAGAGCUAGGCAUCUACCCCUAUGACGGCUAAAGCAAGAUAUUAACCAAGAGAUGUUAUGAUGUAAGAUAAACGUAGUGGACAGAGUAGUAUGGUGGUUUUGUAAAAAGUAACUUCGAGUCAUGUAAUAUAAAUAAUCAUGUAUAUAAGUGUGGUUUGUGUGUAAUUACAAUAGUCAUGCUGUGAUGUGUGAAAUACUAGUGUGCACAUGGAACUGUUAGUAAACUGUAACAUAGAUAUUAAUACUCUAUUUGAUUUUGGCAGCAUGACGGAUCCGAGAGGUCCUCGAGCUUUGGGGUCAGGGGGCCAUGAGGAGAACUUACCUAGAGCCCCCACACUAGCUGAUGCCAUAGCCAGCCUCAUGAAUUCAGGAGCCGAACAGGCUCGACUGCUUUAGAUGAUUGUGCAAAACACCGGCAAUGGUGGAAACCGACGGGACCCAGAACGUGGUGUAUCCUACACCCAGUUUCUGGAAACUCGUCCUCCGAUAUUCCUAAGAGCUAAGCACCCACUAGAAGCUAAUGAAUGGCUUCAGACGAUGGAGCAAAAAUUUCGGGUGAUCCCCCAGUGCACUACCACCCAGAAGGUGGAGUUUGCCGGACUCCAACUCCAAGGUCCCGUUGGGAAUGGUGGACCAGUUAUUUGGCAAGGAAACCGAUCGAAAGGGAAGUUACUUGGGAAAACUUCAAGGAAGCCUUCCGAACACAGUUUGUGCCAGAAGGUAUUAUGCGAAUGAAGCUGGAGCAAUUCCUAGGGCUGCAGCAAGGGACCCGUAGCAUUCUGGAAUACACCAAUGAGUUUGAUCACUUGGCCCAGUAUGCACCGGAACAUGUUAACACAGAGUCCAGAAAAAGAGACUGUUAUCUUCGUGGGCUUAAUGCACGAAUGCAGGAGAAGUUGUCUACCUGCACCUUUGUUGAUUAUAGUUCUGCGGUAAGCACAGCCAUUACUGCAGAAGAAAAGAUGAGAAUCUUAGAUGAAACUUUAAAGAAAGAAGAAUCCUUGAAGAGGAAGAAUAUUCCUUUUGGAACCUUCGGGAAUGCCCCGCAGAGGAUGAAGGUAGUAUACCGAGGUCCUCCUCGACCCGCGUAUCGGCCUUCUUUUCAGCAGAGGCCAUUUUAGCCCUGGAAUGUCAGAACUCCUAUUAAUGCUCCUCACCCUGGAAGUGCGCCACCUCUUGGAUUUUGCAGCCCUACUCCUCUGGGGAAUCCACAGGUUUGUUUUAACUGUGGGAAGCCGGGACACUUUGCCCGGGACUGCCGUUUUCCCAAAGCUGGGGGAAACACGAAUUUGAGGGCUCAAACCUCUGGUCAAGGCACCGGACAGAAGUUUGUUCGUCGCAAAUUUCUGAAUACCAAGACGAGGCAGGCUCAUUAUAUGAAUGUGGAGGAGAUUCUGAAAGGUGUGCCUAUUCUGGUAGGUAUGUACCUUGUCAAUGAUUAUCCUGCCAUGAUUUUAUUUGAUUCGGGUGCGUCACAUACUUUUAUAAGUAGAAAGUUUGUUAAGCAACACCAACUAGAAGUGCACACCUUAAAUGUCAAAUAUGCUAUUCAAGCUACUGGAGCUACUCAAAAUACAAGUCAGGUAGCUCGCAAUGUGAUUUUGAAUUUAGAAGGAAAUAAGGUGGGUGCUUAUCCUUUAAUUCUAGAAGAUCAAGGAAUAGAUAUUAUUUUGGGGGUAAAUUGGAUGAAGGAACAUAAAUUUCAAAUCAAUAUGGAUAACCGGGUCGUUAGUAUGAGAGAUGACCAAGGCCAUCCUUUUGAGCUCCAAUUACCUGCUCAUCCCUGUUUGGACCAGAUGGUCAAAAAGACUAGAGCAGUGACUCUAGAAUCUAUUCCUGUGGUGAAUGAGUUUGUAGAUGUGUUUCCAGAAGAUCUUCCUAGACUACCGCCUGAUAGAGCGGUAGAAUUUACUAUUGAGUUAGAACCUGGCAUUGCUCCUAUCUCGAGAAGGCCAUAUCAGAUGCCACCUAAGGAGUUAGCAGAAUUAAAAGUUCAACUCCAAGAAUUGCUAGAUAAAGGUUUUGUCCGACCUAGCACUUCACCAUGGGGCUGCCCUGCACUAUUUGUUAAAAAGAAAGAUGGCACAUUAAGGUUGUGUGUGGAUUACUGCCCUUUGAAUGCGGUAACCAUUAAAAACAAGUAUCGGUUGCCACGGAUUGACUUGUUAUUUGAUCAACUAGCUGGAGCCAAGGUCUUUUCAAAAAUCGACCUUCGGUCAGGAUAUCAUCAGAUUAAGAUAAAACCCGAAGACAUACCUAAAACAGCCUUCUCAACCCGAUAUGGAUUGUAUGAGUACUUGGUUAUGUCUUUUGGACUGACAAAUGCCCUAGCGCAUUUUAUGUACCUCAUGAAUUCGGUGUUCAUGCCAGAAUUAGAUAAAUUUGUGGUCGUCUUUAUAGAUGAUAUCCUCGUCUUUUCUAAAAAUGAAGAGGAACAUGUGCAACAGCUGCGUAUUGUUCUAAAUAGACUCCGGGAACACCAGUUAUAUGCCAAGUUCAGCAAAUGUGAAUUCUGGUUAAAGAAAGUUCCAUUCCUUGGGCAUAUACUGUCCGAAAAAGGAAUUGAAGUAGAUCCCGGAAAAGUCAAGGACAUAUUGGAUUGGAAAUCACCAACCUCUAUACAUGAAGUAAGAAGUUUCUUGGGAAUGGCCGGGUAUUACCGUAGGUUCAUCCCCAACUUCUCAAAAAUUUCCAAACCAAUCACGAAGUUGUUAAAGAAAGAAGUGAAAUUUGGGUGGAACCCCGAAUGUGAAGAAUCGUUUGAAACCCUAAAGAAGCUACUGACUACAGCCCCAGUGCUAGCUCAACCUGAUAUAGAGAAGCCCUUUGACGUGUACUGUGACGCCUCAGGGAUAGGGAUAGGGUGUGUUCUUAUGCAAGACGGUAGAGUUAUUGCUUAUGCUUCUCGUCAACUGAAGCGUCAUGAAGAGCAUUACCCUACGCAUGAUUUAGAGCUUGUUGCUGUAGUCCAUGCAUUAAAGAUAUGGCGGCACUAUCUUUUAGGUAGUGAAUGUCGUAUCUUUACUGACCAUAAGAGCUUAAAGUACAUUUUCACUCAAAUGGACUUGAACAUGAGGCAGAGACGGUGGUUGGAGCUAAUUAAAGAUUAUAAGCUAGAAAUCCACUAUCAUCCUGGUAAGGCUAAUGUGGUGGCUGAUGCUUUGAGUAGAAAGGCCCAAUGCCACUGUACUACUAUUCAGUCUAACCUUAAGACCCUAUGUGAAGAGUUGGAAGAUUUAAGCUUGAAAAUAGUAAAACAAGGUGCCCUCCAGAACAUUAUUGUGCAAGACACCUUAAAGGGAAGAAUCAUAACAGUCCAAAAAGAAGAUCCUUGGACCAAGGUGCUUUAUCAACGAAGGAUAGAAGGAAAGAUUCCUGAACUCACUCAAGAAGAAGAUGGAGGAUUAUAUUUCAAGAAAAGGAUAGUAGUUCCUAAGAAUGAAAGCCUAAGAAAAUUGAUCUUAGAUGAAGCACAUCUAUCUAAGCUCGCAAUCCAUCCCGGAAGCAACAAAAUGUACCAAGAUUUAAAGCAAAGAUUCUGGUAGGCCAGGAUGAAACCUGAAAUUGCAAGAUAUGUAGCCGAGUGCGAUACCUGCCGGAGAGUUAAACCAAUACUACAAAAGUCAGCGGGUUUGCUUCAACCUUCGGAAAUCCCUGUCUGGAAGUGGGAAGAUAUUUCCAUGACUUCAUAGUUGGAUUGCCUACUACUUCAAAAGGGUAUGAUUCCAACUUACUAAGUCAGCCCAUUUCAUCCCCGUCAAGACUACAUAUCCAGUGUCGACAUAUGCCAAAAUCUAUAUAGCCCGGAUCAUAUCUUUGCACGGAGUACCAAAGACAAUUAUCUCCGAUCGAGGCUCCUAGUUUUUUUCUAGGUUUUGGGAACAACUGCAAAAAGAUAUGGGCACUACUCUAAUCAGAAGCUCUGCCUAUCAUCCUCAAACCGGAGGACAGACAGAAAGGGUCAACCAAAUCUUGGAAGACAUGUUAAGAGCAUGUGUCCUAAGCUAUGGGACGAAUGUUUGCCCCUAGCCGAGUUCUCCUAUAAUAAUAGCUAUCAAGCUAGUAUUAAAAUGACACCUUUCGAAGCCUUGUAUGGUCGAAGAUGCCGAACCCCCUUGAAUUGGUCGGAAGUAGGAGAAAGGACACAUUUAGGACCAGAUUUGGUUAUGGAAACUGAAGAAAAGGUCCGAAAAAUUCGUAAACAUUUGGAAAUAGCCCAGUCUCGAUAGAAGAGUUAUUUAGAUAAAAGGAGACGGUUUUUGGAAUUUCAUAUUGGAGAUUUUGUAUACUUGAAGGUAUCCCCGAUGAAAGGAGUGCAACGUGUUGGGAUAAAGGGUAAAUUAGCCCUAAGGUAUAUUGGUCCUUACAAAAUUCUGGAACGAAAGGGUCCGGUAGCAUACAAGCUAUCAUUACCAGACCAACUUACUUCUAUACAUGAUGUAUUUCAUGUAUCUCAGCUUAAGAAGUGCUUAAGAGUUCCGGAAGAGAUUUUAGAAGAUCUAGAAAUUGAGCUCGAACCAGACCUAACCUACGAAGAAAGGCCUAUUAAAAUUCUAGAUCAAAAGACAAGAGAUACCCGAACUCGGAGUAUUACAUUUUACAAGGUACAAUGGAAAAAUCAUACUCCAGAUGAAGCUACCUGGGAAUAGGCUGAAGACCUAGAGUCUAAAUAUCCUGAGCUAUUUGGAACUAUCAGGAGCAGAUGAACAAAAGCCACCACUUCACUUUCCUUGUACAGAAAAGAGAAAGAUAUUUGACCUGACGCAGUUUCCUUUCCAUUUUCAAACCCAAGAAUUUAACCCCUGGAAUCUCAGGACGAGAUUCUGUUAAGGGGGAGAGGCUGUAACACCUGCUAUUUAGUCAUCAAAGUAAUUCUGAAGAAAUAGAAGCAAAUCAUGAAGAAAAGGAGAAGGAAAUUGGCUAAGAAUCAAAUUCGAGUCAAAUUUGACCGAAAUUUGAAUUUUGAAUUCAAAAUUCAGAAAAAUUUGGCAAAAAUAUGGAAUGGAAGGAUAAGGGUGUUUAGAACUUGAAGAUUAAGACUAGGGACAAAAUCUGGACCUAAAUAUUUCAAGAAAACCAAAAGAAGAAAUCAAAAUAGAAAAGCACUAUUCACCAUCCGACAAUAGGAAUUUCAGAAAAACAGCACCAGAGUCCAUUUUGGAAAUUAAUUUCUGCCGAAUUUUUCAAAUAAAGGGAUCAAGACAACUAUACAAUACUGAAGUAUGGACCUUGGAUAAAAAGACCUGGGUGUUGUUGAUCAAGAAUCACAAAGGAAACAAAUUCAAAUUGAGGCCUAAAUUUGGCACUCUGCCAUUUUCGGCCAAGACACUGAAGUUGUCAUUUUUCUAAGUCUGAAACCAGUGGUAAGUGCCUAUGUUUGGAGCCAAAUUCAGGAGAAUGUGGUGCAAGAAGCAUAGGUGAUUAUGGGCAAAAUGGAAUCAUUGAAAGUUGUAGAGUAUGAUUGGUCAGUAGUUGGAUUAAAAAGAAUUGAAUUAGGCCACUGAAAGUCUUUUCAAAGUCGGGUAAGUGACUCUGCUCAAAGGACUGACGAACUGAACUUCAAGUUCAGAGUGAUUCAGUUAAAAGGGGGAAAGGAAUUCAAAAUUCAACUAUGUUAGGAUGUUUAUCUCGGGUCAGAGCAAAAAUAAAACUUGGAGAGUUCAAGUUUAUCUACAACAUUGCUUAAAGGACCGUGGAGCCGUCGGAUUCAAAAUCGACCGUGAUUUGGAUCUGAAUUUCGGGCAUCAGAAAAACAAGAAAGGGGGGGGGUGAUAGAGCCGAGCCCGACGUGUCGCCGCCGGUGUUCUCGGUCGACCGCCAGCAUAGCAACUACGCCACCUCCUCACCACGCAAGCCUAGCACUAGGCCAUGGUGUCGCCCAUGCGCGCGGUAAGUCUUUCGUAUAUCUACCGCUCCCGCCACCACUUUCACCGUCUGUUCUUUUACCGCCGCCGCCCUCUCUGUCAAGCCACCGCCGCCAACCAAAUUCCACUGCCACACCUCACCUCCCAUCGAUUCCUCUCGCCUACUCCUCCACAGGUACCCCAGCUACACCCCGGUCAACUUGUUGCCCAGCAUCCUUGCCGGAGUACCCGUACUCGCCGUUGUUUCCAUCCACCGCCGCACCUCCUGCUCACGGUGAGCACCCCCUUGCUGUCGCUGUUGUUCCUUGUGGUCAGUUUUAGGUAGACGUCUAGGGCACUAGGAAGCCGUAGAGGAAGUUGUCGGGGUAGGACGAGCCGUCGUCGUGCUUAGCCACGACCGGCCGUAGGCGCCGCCGCCUGCCGUCGUGGAGGGAGUGGCUCCGACCACCUCCUGGGGAGUUACCGCUGCGCACGGGUGCGCUAGGGCAUGGGGAUGCUUCCCCGGCCUAGCCCCGUCGCCGGUGGGACGCCGGCCGGCGAGCCGCGCCGCCCCCUGUUACGCUCAGGUUUUGGCGGGAGGAGGAAGAAGGUUCUGGUACCGCGGGCCCGUGCGUCAGGGAGGAGAGGAGAGGGAGGAGGUAGGUCGGGCGAUGGCUUAAGUGGACCUAGAGUCCAGCCGGCCCAAGUGCCGGUGCGGGAAGGGCCGUUCGAAGAAAAGGCCGGAGGCCCAGGUGGUCCAGCAGGCCGGCUUCGCGGAAAAGAAGGAAGAGGAGAGGUGGGCCGUCGGGCCAUCGCCGGUUGGAGAAAAGAAAAAGAAAAAGAAAAUGGCCCAGUAGGCCCAGUAGAGGUUUACGAGGCCGGCGGGUAAGAUAAAUAGGAGAAGGAGGUGGGUCCAAGCCGCGGGCCCAGCGUAAGAGAGAGGGGGUAGAGUUAGGGCGUGUGAGAAAAGUAGGCCGGGGAGUUUUUCGGGAAAAAGUUAGAUUUCCUUUGUAGAAUAAAUAGAUUAAAUCCGAAUCUCACCAUUUAAAUCACAGAAAUUUCUAGGGGUGUCCAAAAUUAGUGAAACCAAUUUUGUUAGGAUUGUUUUAUUUUCCUUUAUGCAUUAAAAUUUUUAUACCCUAGGCAAAAUAAUAAAAAUUUGGGUAUUUAUUUAAUGCCUUUCUUUUAAGGUAAUUAAAUAAAUGCUUAAUCUUAAUAAAUACAUAAAAUAUGGAAUAACAUUUCAUAAUCACAAAUUAUUGUUGACUCAUAGGAAAUUAGGUUUCAAGAUUAGAAAAUAAUUAUAAUAUCUUCUAAAAAUAAAAGAAAAAGCCCUAAGUAAGGUUAGUUAAGGAAAUAAAAUUGUUGGGCUAAUCUUUUCGGGUUUUUGUGUGUUGGCUUGCAACUUUAUCAUGAUAAAUUAUAUAGUCCUUGUUGGCUUGCAACUUUAUCAUGAAGGAAAGUUGUAUAGUCUUGUAUUCAAAAAAGUUGCAUUCCUAACCCCUGCAUACGCUUUGUCAUAGACACCGAAGCACCAGAAGGAGAUUUCUCGGAAUUUUCAGAAGGAUCUCCGGAGUUUGAAGAGGUCUUUGAGUUGGUUCCCUGCGAGGCCAAUCCUUCAGAUAGUGCUAACCUUUUUAUAGAACAAGGCAAGCCCCGAUGAAUUAUACCUAUUAUUUUAGAGUCGAUAUUUCAUGUGUCCAAUUAUCGGUUAUUUGCUAUAUGUAUGCACUAAGUCCAGGAGUUGCUUGAAACCCAUUCUUGUGCAUUAUCCUACCUUGUUUCAAGGACAUCUUUGCUACUUGUUCAAUCAUUUAGUAAAUAACCCAAGUCUAGAAAUGCUUAGUUGCUUAAAUAAUUGGUUACCGAACCUUAAGGUAAAUAUUGAGUCAGGCAUGUUAGUUACGGAAAGAUAACUUGGAAGAUAAGAAGCAUACAGAAGCUAAGGAUGUAGUUCUGUCUGCUAGAUUAAUUUGGUUAAGGCCCGAUUCGUUGUCUUAACCUUUGAUCAAGUGAAAGACAUCUGAUCACUUACUGGGUAUGGGACCAGUAAAGCCCAGUAGGUUAGUAAACCCUCUGAUCGGGAAUAAUUCGUACUCGCGCUUGACGUGCUAGAGAUUGGCAGGGGCGUAGCCUGAAACUCACAUGGUGAUCAGGCCAGACGUGGGGUCCCAUGUGGGGGUGCGUCCCUAGGUUCGGGUAGUCUUAUUCCCAAUCAUUGGAUUUGCUAAUCGAAAAGUUGUUACGUACGACCUGGACAGUCGUAUAUAGCUGGUGAUCAGGGUACUCUCCUGCAGGAUGUAAUUUGAUCCGGAUCGCCGCAAUUCUCAGUUAUGAAUGCACUUGAUCACUGUUGAGCAUCGUAGCAUAAAUUCAUGAAUGCUAUAUCUCUCCACUAAUGUUUUGGUGUAUGACUUAACACCUUGUUGUUUGCAAUUAAUCUUUGGUCAUCAUUUAGAAUGGUUAGAUAAUAACUUAAUCAAAAUAAAAGACAAAGCUAAGGUCUCACUCUUAGUAAGCUCUUUUGCCAAAAAUGUGUCAGCCAAGCACACUGAAAAAGCUAUCAUAUAGUUCCAAGAAAAACUAUUAUAUUGGUUAGUCAGGUAAGCCUUGCUGAGUACCUCAUACUCAGGGUUAUCCCUUGUGGCUAUUUUCAGAGGCACCGCAGGAAUCCACCGAGGAGGAAGCCCCGAAAAACUAGGGUAUGGUUAUGAGUCUCACAAUACCCUUAGAAGAAAUCUUAAAUGCUCAUCUCCCACCUGAACCGUUUAUGUUUAAAAUCCUAGAACCUCUGCCUAACCUGCACUGUUAAGUUUAUUUCAAGCUAUGUCUUGUAAUAACUCGUACCUCUGUCAUCACAUGUGGACCUAUGGGUCUAACCUCUACAUGUGGCACACCGGUUCUAUGACGAGUCACAGUCAUCACAAAUAGGAGAUGUUGAUGGCGCACCAUUUUGUGAAGAUGUGAGAUGUUGUUCUAUGAUGCUCGUUUUACUUUUGUCAUAGUUUCGUAUUGUCUAAGGGCUACCACCGAUGAUCUAAGAUGAACUUGGGAUUUUCAUCAUAGAUGUGGUCUGUUCAAUGACGAAGUUUCAAAACGUCAUGGAAACUAAGAUUUCUACCGGUGAUCUCCAAGUGGUUUGCUCCUAAGUCUCCUAGAAUGAACAUUCACCAAAUUUGGAUACAUUUGGGUGGUUACAUGGACCUUGCCGAUCAGCUAGCCCCUUUUUGGGCAUUUUGGUCUUCAUUUCUUCUAGGCUAAUUGUUGGUUUUGGACCUUGAAUGUGUAUGCUCCAAAUCUCGCUAUUUUCCUCAAAAACACGGUAUGCUCCAAAACACAGCUAUAUGUGGAUAUGAUCUGAUUAUUAUGUAUGAUCAAUGAUAAUGAUGGUUAUUUUUAUGCUAAUAUUAAGGGUAAACAGAGGUGGAAUUUUACCACUAAGGAUUUGAGAGCAUAUAUGUUGAAGACCAUAAUUGUUAAUUGUAAAAAUUGGAGAACCCAAGAAAAAUUGAAGUAUGUGUUUCCAUUGGAGUAUAUAGUUUUGACAGUUGAACACUAACAUUAGCAGACUUGGUUAUUAACACUCAUAUCCAUAGAUUUUGUUUACUAACUUAUUUUGCAUGUUUUGAAUGUUUUCUCUAACUCCACCUAUGUUGUCUCAACAUAGCAGGUCCCAAGUCCUGGUAAAGGAGGCCAACGUUAAACCUAGCCAUUCUAAUGGAGAUUGUUGGUGGUUAUGAAAUGCCCAAACAGUAGAGGGUGGCUCUUGAACAAGACAUGGUGGCUCUUGAACAAGACACUUGUCCAAAAGAGCUUCUAGGGGACUAAGUGCCUAGCAUUUUGUAUCUUGAGUGAGCCCAUAACUCUUCUAUUUAUAGCCUAAGGGAGCGGGGCCUUUUUGGACUAAGGACCCUUAUGCCUGCGGUACAGUGCCUUCGGCACUGGACCCACUGGCGUACGGUCUUAAGGGUAGCAAGGUCUAACCCUCUCCUCUGUACCUAGGGCUAACGUGGUGUCUCCCUGCCCGCGCUUCUCGUACGGAGGGUGGAUGCAUCAGCCUCCAUAUCUAGGGCUGACGCAGGCGCACUCCUUUUCCCCCGAGGGUGAGUAAAGUUAAAGUUCUUACUCCCAGGGCCCCUGUAGGAGUAGGGACCGGCGUUCUGCCUCUAUCCUUCUUCUUCCCCGAGGCGUGGGGCUUCCAGGUAGGGUAGAGAUCUUCGAAGGAGCUCCGAAUUAUUUAGUUGGGUCCUCCUGCCCCCACACGGUUCGGACCGGCUGGCACGAUAUUGGCGUGUUCCGACAAGGGCUUUGGUGACAGCGAAAGCCUCCUAAGUUCUGAGUUUGAGAGACCCCCGGUAGCUCUAGGGUUCUCUCGGUUCCCAUGGCUCCUCGGCCCCAAGGUCCGUGGCUGCCGCAGAGAGAGGGGGAAAAAGGGGGAUGUUCUCUCCGUAGGGAAAAGGAGAACUUCCGAAACUCCGGAAGUGUCCCGGCGGAGACAAUCCUUCCAGCCCGCGACCCUGGGCCAAUUCCCCAACAGAGAUGAAACCCAAGAGAAAUGCGAGCCCUGAUUUGUGGUUCUUGUUGGAUUUCAACUCUAGCCUACCCCAACUUGCUUGGGACCGAAAGGCUAUCUUGUUGUUGUUGAAUAUUUUCUCUAGGCAUUUGCCUUAAUUUUAUUGGAGAUAGAAAGAUAGAAAGAAGUGUCUAAACCAACAAGAAAGUGAGGCAAAAUCACAUAUUAAGGCACACCAUGAUGAAGCCCCCGAUUCGAUGGACAAAAUUGGACAGACCUAUAGAUCGACAGAUUUGAAGUGUAGAUAGAAAAGUUUUGGCAAUCGGGAGGUGCGCAUUUGCUGGAAAACAUGGAAUUCAUGUUAUCAAGUUUUUCUGUUCCAGACUUGAAAUACAUUUGAAUUCAAAUCCAUGAUUCAAAUUCAAAUCCGCCUCUAGGAAAAAAUCCAACUAAAUCCAAUAACUUCAAAUUACUCAUGCAACUACUAUGCUCAAGUUUUUUUGGUGCAUAAUUUUAAUUAGGAAUUGACACUAGGGCAGCAGCAUCGGUUAUAUCUGAAACCUUUUCAUGCCUAAUUUUAUUCAAUCAAAAAGUUUGAAAUUUGAGAACUGUGCACAUAACAAUACAUAAAAAUAUGAGAUGUUACAAAGAAUGCUAGUUGCCAGACCAAGCACGAUCAAUCCUUGCAUUCCCCAACGAAACAAUAGGCAUUUGUUUCCGAAUAUACAUCCAAACGACAUGCUUGGUGGGAAUGACACAAUUUAAAUGCAAAAUCCAAAUCAGCCAUAUAAGAGCACAAAGAUAAUGCAUUAGAAUGCAAAUCAAGAAGAUAAAAAAAAGAUAUUGUUACCUCUGCAAGAGCUUCCUUCUCGCAUAAACACAUGAGGUUCGCAAGGACAAGAAGGGAGCAUGCCUUUGAUUUGUUUCUUUCAAAGAAGGUUGAAAAACAAAGAUGGGUGAGGGGAAGGUCCAGCUACCUCGUCAACAGCAGCACUGGAGCAGGCCCAUCAAUGAUUCUUUCAAGAUAAAUUUAGAUGGUGCAUUCAAAGCCAGCACAGGAGGAGGAGGAGGGUGGGGAUAUGUAAUCAGGGAUGGAGAUGGCCAGGUGACCAGAGCAGGGGCAGGUGGAUGUCUGAAUCUAGGGCGCGUUUGGUUCGUUUCCGUCGCUAGCCUGGCUCGCAUCUGGUAUGCAGGCUAAGCUAGGCCAGGCUGAUUGCAUGCAGGUGAUCAAUGUUUGGUUACCAGGACGAAAGUAGAUAGGCUGAGCAGAGCACAUGUUUGGUUGCAUGUAUGAGCUAAGAACUGGCGAAUAGAGAAGAGAAAGCAGUUGUUUGGUUGGCUGCAUGUACCAGAGUUUGAAUACCAGAUUGCUGAAAUUGGUGAGGUUACCACAAGUUAAAUUUUAGGCUAGGUACUCAUACAACUCGUUCAUACCAAUGGAGGUCAUCAUCGGCUCAAUAUUACAACAAAUGAUCAUACAAGCUUGUACAAUAAAACUAGGAUAAUAAUGAACUGAACAAUGAUAAUGAUAUCUUUGGUUAGUGUGCUUGUUUUGUUCAGUUGUUUGUCAGCCUUGAACUGAGGAGGGGCUUGAUCUACAUGUUGGUUGUGAAUUAUAGGCCACCCUGAGCCUACUCAUGAAGUAUGCAUAGAUGACAGACACAAAAGCAGCAGCUUUUAUCACAAGCAUGUGUCUCUGGUCGACAGGGUUCAUCUAUUACACAAUGCAAAGCAUGUCUCAGCAAAACAACAAAUCAUUUUGAGCAUUCAACAAGUGGGUCAGGAAAAAAAACUGCAUCAUCGCCUAAUGCACAAGUGCUCACAUAUAGGUAAAUCAGUGUAAUAAGAAUGCAUCAUUAGAUAAGGACAUGUGCUCAGUUUUCAUUUUUAUAACUUAAUAUCAUCGGCCAAGAACAUGUGCUCACUGUUGAAAAUAAAUAAGCAUUCAUCAUCGGCUAAGAACAUGUGCUCACUGUUGAAAGAAAAUAAGCAUUCAUCAUCGGCUAAGAACAUGUGCUCACUGUUGAAAGUAAAUAAGCAUUCAUCAUCGGCUAAGAACAUGUGCUCAGUUUUCAGAGUAAGUAAGCAACCAUCAUCGGCUAAUGACAAAGGCUCACUGGAAAAAAUCGUUACCGCUAGCUCCUUCAGUAAACAGUCCGAGGGCUUUCAAGAGUUCAACGGGUAAGCCAAGAUAAAGGCAGAUCUGCACAUGAGGGAGAGGGAUUACUAUCAAAACAUACAAGAUCCAAUCGGGAGAAACAACAACAGACCGAAACCCUAAAAGAUAAAACUUGCCUUUUUACCUCCAACGAAAUCACCAGCACAGAUCCGACCCUACAAAUGUUCAAAGCAUUAGGACCCCAAAAAAACCGAUGGAGAAAGGGAGCAACACCAGAUCUGCGACGGAUUACAGGUUACCUGCUCUCUUUGCCACGAAACCCCGACGAAUCGAACCUCAAACCUGCGGAAAAUGAAGAGAGGGAGAAGCGAAAGGUCAACCACCGAUUGAAUCGAGCCUCAAACACCGUGGAUCUGGAGCACAAGUAAGAGAAGAUGCAUCACCUGCUGCGUGUUAGAUCUGGAAGAGUAGGAAGAGGAGGACACGAAGAAGCGGGAGAGCUCACAGCGGAGAGGCAGAGGGCGAGUGCGACAGAGAGAAUGGGGGGAGGGGUGGCGGCGGUGAAGAUAUAGCGCGGAUGGAAGGCGCGAAAGGGGCGGCGGUAACCCUAGCUUCCCGCGCGCGCCCCCGCAUCUCCCGUCUGCACGCGAGGAGCCAUUUUUCUGGGCACCGAGAGCGCGCUCGCGUCCCGCACGAGCCAGGCCGUCAAGAAACGGAAUCCAUUUUCGUUUCCCGGUAGCCAGGCUCGGGGGGUUGUGUUGCACGCCCAGAGCCAGGCUCAGGUACGAAUACAGGCAUCCAAUCGCUUCGACGUUGUAUCCCGAGGGCCAGGCCGAGCCAUAUGCGGGGAAGCAAACGCGCCCCUAAUGAACGCGUUCCAUGCAGACAUCCUGGCGUGCUUGGAGGGUGUUAGUGCAACUGAUGAGAUGGGCAUGAGCAAAGUAGUGGUCGAGGAGUCAGAUUCUAUGUUGGUGAAGUUUGCCCUUAUGACGAACUCCUUAGCUUUCUAGGUUGUUUUAGUAUUAGUAUUUUUAAGUUCAUAGAUAUUAGUUCAUAGAUAUAACGUACUAGAAAAAUCAAAACGUUCUACAAUUUAGAACGGAGGGAAUACUUAGUUACAUAAUAACAUAUAUGACACAUAUGUGCCAUUCACGCUGGCAUAGAUAGACCGACAGCGAAGAGAUACGUUGCUAAUCCUAUUUCGUGAAAAUAAAGCGACUUCACUAAAAACAGGGAUAGUUGGAGAAGGCUACAUGCUAAGGGGAACAAACGGUAAGGAAAAGAAUGGAAAAAGGCUACGUCACCAGAAGACGACAAUCUUCCUAAUACGCAGAACGGCAGAACGACACUCCGUUGUGGAAGUCAAAACUUUGCAGAGAUGACGACACAUACGUGAAAAGGAAACAUAAACAGAACUGAAAAAUCGAUCGAUCGUUAUCAGCGCAGCAGUUUACUUCGACCGUUCGCCGUGUCCUGUAAUUUUCCCGCUGGAUUCGCACCGGCCGCAUGCCAUCUCCGUUGCUCAGCCAACAACGGAGCGUGUGGCUCUAUGGUCACGAGCAGGCUACAGCUGCCGUGUUGCGGCAUCAGCCACACAAGUUUGGAUGAUAUCGAACAGCAGCCACUCCUUCCCCAUCCAGAUGUCCGUGCACGUCCCUCCUGCUUUGGUUAUAGGAACCAGGGGGCGUGAACGAGAAGGGACGAGCACGGAGGUGGCAGCAAAACUUUCUUGCUCUGUAGCUCGUCUCCUCAGCUAGUAAGCCAUCAUGGCCCCCACCGCGAUGGCCGCCACCUCCGUCGCUCCAUUCCAGGGGCUCAAGUCCACCGCCGGACUCCCCGUCAGCCGCCGCUCCACCAGCUCCGGCUUCGGCAACGUCAGCAACGGCGGGAGGAUCAGGUGCAUGCAGGUAACAAUUGAUCGAUCUAGUCACUGGAAUUAUAUUCUAUCUUGCUGGUGUUCAAAUCUGAGCUGAAAGCAACUGGGUGUCGUUGUUCAGGUGUGGCCGAUUGGGGGCAAGAAGUUCGAGACCCUCUCCUACCUGCCGCCUCUCUCAACCGACGAUCUCCUGAAGCAGAUCGACUACCUGAUCCGGAAGAACUGGAUCCCUUGCCUCGAGUUCAGCAAGGUUGGGUUCGUCUACCGUGAGAACAACAGGUCUCCCGGUUACUACGACGGCCGUUACUGGACCAUGUGGAAGCUGCCCAUGUUCGGCUGCACCGAGGCAACCCAGG
rnacentral:lncRNA from 1 species